UCCGAUCUCACGCAAUUCGGCACAUAAAAUAUAGGGUCUCUUCGCGAUUUAUCCGUUUUGCCACUUUGACCCCUCAGCGAACAUCUCGCUUUUUUCGAAGAUCCGUCCGUUGGAUUUUCGAUCCGACAGUGCCAUCGCAUUCAGCAUGACGAGGGUAAUAAAACUACAAUCUUGUUUCGUCAGAUUUGGUCACAGAUUCGCGACGGAACCCAUCCGCUCUCUAAUUAAUCCGUAUAACGCACAUAUACCAAAGUAUAAACCCUAAAACCUUUAAUUCAAAUUCAAAUUUGAAUUCCCUACCACCAGUAGGUACCAGAAACAACUCUCACCUAACCCCAGGUCACAAGCACAGAGCACGAGGAGUUUUAAAAUGCACGAAUAGCAAAGAGCGGAAACCCUCUUUUUCUUAAAACUCCUUUUUCUCAAAAAUCGUGCAUCGGAUCUGAAAUUCGUCAGUGCCAUCGGUUCCAGAAUAGCUGAACCGUUCGAAACGAGCUAUUGGAUCGCUAUGAACAGAGUCUGAUACGCGCCAGAAGCCUACUUAACGCAUUGGCCUCUUCGAAAAACCGGAGUUACUAUUCACUUAAGUGAAAUUUAAAAAUCGCGUAACUUCUCCAUUUUAGCUCAUUUUCUCCUGAAACUUGACGAGUGCUUAUGUAAUUAAAUUACACACAUAAACAUCGUCAGCAGAGAGUUUAGUUGCACUGUAAAAAUCUCAGUUCUUACAGUUCUAUUUGAUAAAUGCAGGCGGCAAGUAAGAGAAACUCACAAAAUAGAGCCAAACUAUCAAUGCCCCAUCGUAUUGGUAGUAAGCCAUUCCGACAAAUUAUUUAUUAAAAGGUAAUGUAAAUUGACAUAAUAAGCUUUUAGGAUUUUGUUGUAAUCAUUAAUUGAUAUGAACCAAUGUUUUGUGUAGGGAGGCAAAGAUAGUAAUCCACCAAGCUUAGCGACAAUUUUCUUUGAGACUCGAAAAAAAGAUGGACAACUUGAAAGAGAUAAUGCAAAUAAGAAAUAUGUAAGUCUUUGCACUUACUUUUGUUAUAAUUGAUUCUAUUUGUGCAUUCUUAUAUAACUAAUUUUGUAUAUUAAAUUUUAUUUUGAAGAAUGAAAUUCUUGAAGCCUCACAAUCACAACCGGAACUAUCCAAUAUAGAGCUCAUUGAAAAAUGCUUUGGAACUCAAUGUCAUCAACAUGUUGUUUGCUAUGGGGGUGGUGUGAAGUCGACUGAUUUGAAACCUUCUUACUCUUUUAGAGCUGAACUUAAUGCCAAACUCUGUGAAACUCAGAAGGAAAAUCAAUCACUUAGGAGUCGUAUGGAUGGAAUGGAGGCGGAACUACAAAAAAUUAAGGAAAUGCUCCAGCAACAUCAUAAUAUUUCUCCUCCACCUUCUCCAUCUGAAGGUUAAUUUGUUUUUAAAUGUUUCUCUAGACUUUAAUAAACUUGAUAGUCUUUAUAAUAUGCAUUCUUCACAUAAUUAUCUUUUAUAUACUUCAUUUCAUAGACUUAGUUAAAGUUCCUCUGUCUUUCACGAUAAUCAUAGUUAUAAGAUUUUAAUUGGAUAUUCAUAUUAUGAUUAUUCUCGUUGCAUCAGUCUAAUACAUACCUUAUCUUAUUGUAAGUAAUUGAUGGUGAUAAGUUGAAGAAUUGAAAAUCUGAUCCAACGUUGAUUAGGCGUGCCGUCAAGUAUUUUAUCAUUUUGGGUCUUCGUUUGAAAAACAAAACUCUCAACAACUUUAUUCUAUUUGAUUUUUCAUAUUUUGGAACUUUGAUGGUUUAAGAAUGUUGCUUAGUUUGUUGGUAUGAUUAGACUUGUAAUGGAUGGAUGACAAUUCCAUACUUUGUUAGUUUUACAUUUUGAAAACUAUGGAUGAUGAAAUAUUUAGUUCUUAAUCUAUUCUCUCAUUAGUUUGGAAUUGUGCUAUUUCAUAUUUUUCACCCCUCCGCAAGAUGAGUUAAUAUAUUGCUCUCUCUCUCUCUUUAUGUGUGUGUAUAUAUAUAUAUAUAUAAAUAUAUAUAUAUAGCGACGGAUUGUUUGGUCGUUGUUGAAUCAUAAAUUGUAAAUUCUAAAUAUUUUUAUCGACGACAAUUUUCGUCGUUAAAUGUUUAGUUUAUUAGCUGAAAAAUAUUUUUUAGCGACAGUAUACGCCGUCGUUAUUUUAGUUUUAUCCGUCACUAACAAUAAGAUUUUGCAUAUUUUUAUAUAAAAAAGCGACAAACAAAUGGUCGUUAUUACUAACAAUAUUGGUCGUUAUCAUAUACAUUUAACGACGGUAUUUGAUCUCGUCGUUAAAUACUUUUAGUGACGGAAAUUAAAGCCCUUCGUAAUAAGUUUUAGCGAAGGAAGAUUUAACGAUGGGUGGCGACGGAAAUUUGUACGGUCAUUAAAAGUUAUUAGCAACCAAUAUGCUAGUUAUAACGACCACUAUUCCCUUCAUUAAAUAUCAUUUUUCUUGUAGUGAUUUGUGUUUUGUUGCUUUAUGCUAGUUGGAACCCUAGGUUUUGAGAUUUAGGGUUAGAAAUGGGGACUUUUGAUUUGAGGCUUCUAGAACCAAAUUGAUUGGUUUAGAAUCAUAGUUUAGGUUGGCUUAGAAGGACUCUAACUCCUAUUUGGAGAUCGAGAGAGUUUCCUUCGUGCUCGGUGAGUUUUUCACCCUUUUCUUGAGUUGCUUAAUGUUCAAUCUCUUGGGUGUUCGUAAGGUCCAUUUAACUUUCUUUUCUAUACCUUUAGGGUACUAGGAGGGUGGUUGACACCUUCGUUGGAGCAAACGAAGGGUUUCGAUUAGCUUCGGUGGGUUUGGCUUCAUUGGAAUAGGAGAAAAUGUCUCCUAAGUGGUUAAAUACUUUCGUAUCAUCGUGGUUUAUGCAUUUUCAUCAUAGAUAGGAUUUAUGUGAAUUUUUGAAUGCUUAGAAUGAAUGCAUUUUGUAUCAUGAAUAUUUCACUCUAUGAGUAGAGCCUUAUGUGUAGUAUCUAUGCAUGUGUUAAGUAUUCUUAUUGCAAGUUUGAGAAUAUGUCUCUUAUGGAAAAAUGCUUAGAAUUAUGUACUCUUGAACAUAAUCAUCAUGCUUUGACAUAACGAACAAAAGUGUCAUAAAGGGGCACUUAGAGUAGUAAACUGCGAAACUGCAACUUAGAGACAUAGUGAUAGGCCAUUCAGACAUCAACUAUUAUUCCGUGUUUUGGACAUGACGACGUAGUGGUAGGCCAUCGAGAUACUUGAUACAUUCCAUGUUUUUAGUUAUGAGGACUUGGUACUUGAAACAGAUCUUUCGCUUGCUUGUCAUUGUGCUCAUUCGCACAUGCUUGUGAGGGUUGCUCCCUACAAUCCGGCACUCCGGAGAUAGCCAUCGCGACAUAUGCUCGCUGGUGCGGGAUUGGGCGCCGAAAUGGGAUGCUGUGGGGGAGGCUCAUUCCUAGAGUGGGGAUGUUGACUACAGGUGGGUCUUACAUGAUUGGAACUUAGUGACAGACCAUGCCAAUUGGACUUUGACUAGAAUAGUAAAUAAUGACAUUUUACUAUCUACAUCAUGGACAUUCUGUUGAUUGCAUAUACAUGCUUAUACAUGUUAGUCACACUCAUGAACAUACUUGUUGCAGUUGUUUUAUUACUUAUGCAAUUCUUACUAAGUAGAGAUAUCAUGGUAGAGUAGUACUCAUGGUUACAUACUUGUCCUUUAUUUAGCUUUUGUUUAUACUCAUACUUACUCUCUUUGUUCAGUUUUGGGCCAAGUGGCGCAUUUCACUGAAGUCAGUAAUUGUUCACUGGGAACUAUUUUUUAAUAGUUCUCACGCCCUCGUUUCUAUGGUUUUAUUUCGGAGCCCUCUACAACGGUGGAGGCACGGGACCGCGGCAAGGGGAUCGCUUAGCUAACUAGCAAUGAGCAUUUUUUUGCGUUUUGGUAGUACACUCUCCUUUUGUUGUAGUUGAGUGAGAGAGAGUUAUGAUAGUACCUUGUAUAGAGAGACCACCUAUGUACUCUUUUAGCACUUGUAUUUCGGUUUCCUUUGUACUACUUUAUGGUUUCACUUUGUAGAUUUAUAGUUUUAUGAUUACUCUCCUGUUGUAGAAUUUAGUUGUACUUUGCUCUGAUAUCACUAGAUCCCUUGUAUUAUUGUUUUAUUUACUGCUUUUUCGUAUGGGUUUCUUUGUACUACUUUAUGGUUUCACUUUGUGGAUUUAUAGUUUUAUGAUUACUCUCCUGUUGUAGAAUUUAGUAGUACUUUUCUCUGAUAUCACUAGAUCCUUUGUAUUAUUGUUUUAUUUACUGCUUUUUCGUAGACGCCUUAUAUGUUUUAGACAUAUGGCGGGUCUGGACACGCGCCGGGCGGGCUUCCGCUGGAUCCCUGGGCGUAACAGGUGGUCACUAUCUAUGGCACGAUACCUUUACCGCGAUCGUCGGCCGGCUCACUCGGUCCCGGCUCUGUGAAAAUAGUGGGAUGAGAACUACAACAAAGUUCCCAGUGGGUUCGGCCGCCGACCUCGCCGACUUUCCCACUAGGUCUAAAUCAGGCAUAAUAGAAGAAGAUACAGAUAGAUAGUAACCAAACUAUUCAAAUGCAGCUAAUAUGCCUGAACAAGAUAUAAUCAAUGCUAUACUCAAAUAAAAUGCUCAUGAUGAAUGUAAGAUCCACUUUCCAAAUCCCGGUCCUUUUGGCUAACCCAUAGGUUUCGCCUCAACCAACAACUUACCAAUUCAGAUCCCUACUAUCGGGCCCUCAGCUUCCUCCCGACAGGAUCAAUAGACUCACCAACUCAAAUCCCUAAUAUCGGACCCUCAGCUUCCUCCCGACGGGACCGUCUUCUGGGGCAAACACCUUCCCAGUGAUGAUAACUCCGGAGCUCAUAUCUCGAGGGGGAGCGACCACCCUCAAGCCAAGACUUAUAGGCGAGUAUGAUCUAUCCUUAACUUUAAGGAUUCCAAGUUCAAUCCAAUCCUUCACUAUAAGGAUGCAAUGCUCAUAUGACCCUUAACUAUAAGAUUAUUAUGUCAUAAUGCCAAUUCAACUAUCUCAUUUUCUUGCAUUCUUUAACUUUCAUUAGUGCCACUUACACUACAUAUUCUUUAUACUCAAUUCUCAUGUAUUCAUUGUUCUCAAUAAUGCCACACACUAAGUGUUCCUUAUACUCAAUUCUCAAGCAUUUAUUGUUCUCAAUAAUGCCACCCACUAAGUGUUCUUUAUACUCAAUUCUCAUGCAUUUAUUGUUCUCAAUAAUGCCACACACUAAGUGUUCAACUCUAGCAUUCAAAACUCAUUGAUGCCACUCAACUCAGAGUCCAAUUCUAGCAUUCAUUUUAUUUACUAAUGUCACACAAUUUAUAUGUCAUAAUGUCAUUUGUUUUCAAUGUCACUAGACUUUUUGCCUUUCUAGGUUCUUGUCAUCUUUCAUGCAAACAUAGGGUUUUUCAAGUUCUCGAUAUUUAACCAUCAUCUCAUAUGCAUUUGUACUCACAAUAUGCAACAUCACAUACUAACAUAAUCUCAAUCACCCUACAAUGCAUGAAACUCAACAUAUAUAUAUGCUCAAAAAAUGACAUUUUAGACAUAAAAGGAAAUUCAAAGAUUUCGGAAAGCACCACCCACCUCGUAGGGUUGCUAAGGUGCUACGGUUCAAUUCUCGUGAUUUUUGGAUGCUUAUUUCUUCUGACUGCGGCAAACGAAAGCCUAAACGGAGUUUUUCUCCAAUUCCUUCACGUAGGCUCGUCGAAUCUUCGAACCGAGUCUCCCAACGUGUUAGAAAUACCUUCAAUUUGGUUUCUACAAGAUCAAUUUACAUUCAAACCCCUCUAUGACAAAAGCCCCAAUUUGGAGACCUAAUAGUGCACUAUAGCAACAUAUACUCUAAACCCAUUUAAAUCAAGCAUUAACAAGCAUGAUUCCAUCUAGAGAUUCAUCUAAAAUCAUUCCUAGGUCAAUUAAACCGAAUUCUAAGGUUCUACCAUUAAAGAGUUUGAAGCUUACCUCAAAAGCUUCCCUCUCUUGAGCUAAUGAAGAAGAAGAAGUAGUCGCUCAACUCCAAGCCUUCGUCUCCACCAAGCUUCUUCUCCAACUUCCUCUCCAAUUCCUCCUCUUGAUUCCUCCCUAAGAGAGAAGGAGAGAUUUUAGAGGCGAAGAGAGAAAAAGAUAAAACUUACUCUCUCUCUCCCUCUCACACAGUUUGGACUAGGACCACAGAGUAUGGCAUUUGUUACGCACAUAGCCCCUCAACAUAUAGCUUAUUUUCAAUUUUAGCAGCUUAGAAUCUGAUACUUUUCGCCGGAGCCCUUCUGAAUGUCCGUUUGAGCUCAAAUUUGACAAUCACGCUCGAUUUAAGUUAAAGUUAAAAAAUAUAUCUUAACUUCUCGGUUUGGAUCAUUUUUGGUCACCGAAAGUUCUACCGAACUGAAAUCUCUAGCAGAUAGCAGUCGGAUUUUAUUUUCCACUUUUUGGGUGUCGAGAUGAUGUGAAACUUUAAAUCUAACCUCAUAAAAAUAAUUCCGACAUAUUCCCAAGUUUUCAUAAUUUUUUGAUACUGUGAAUUUUCUGCUAAAAUAUCAGCCCCAUUCCUUACAGAAAAUUCUAAAUCUUCUGUUUUUAUUCCAAUUUCAGUACAAGUCACUUCCGACUUAUAUUUUACUUCUUUAAGUCAAAUAAAAUAGUAUCUCAUACUAUUUUUAUUUACACUUAUUUUUACAUUAAAAUUCAGUAUAUUACAUUCUCCACCCCUUAAAAGAAUUUCGUCCGCAAAAUUCAAACCACACCUCAAUUCAGCUCCUCGAGCAAUUGAAGGUACCAACUCAUUCUCCCACUCCAAAGCGGCUUCACACUAUCGUGGUUACAGCAGCGGCUCAUACCGAAGGACGUGGGUUCAAUCCUAAACACAUUUGUAAAAUGUGAUACAAAGGUGCAUCACGGGUCUUGCAAGUCAUAGUGGCAGCGCAAGUCGCUUUUCAAUGACUCUACACUCUCCAACGCCACUCGCUACUUGGCACACAAAGAACCCUUCUUUGCAUCUACCAUUCGCUACCCAGCACACGAAGGACUUAUCCCUCCACAACUCUACUGAAUACCACUUUCUUCGAGAUCAGGACUACCCCUCAUCCUCGUGGUGUGGAUCUAACAAGAAUGUAUCAACUAGUCGAAUGGUCCACCACCACUACACAAUACGUACAGGUAGACCUCCUCGAACCACUCAAGUGUUCACAAAGUGGCACUCCACCACUUUGGCUAUCCAAGAGUCUGCAUCCUCAUUUCCGACUCUUCUUUGCAUUCAUCAUCCUUUCAGGGAACACACUCCGAUUCAAUCACCGACAUUGCUUAGAAGCAAUAACCCGGGUGCAUCGCUCUAUCAUGAGUGCUCCAAUCACAAUCGGACUCUUAGCUCUACCGCGAGAUGGUCCACUUCGGCACAUCUGUACAUUCUAGUUCACUUAAGAGCAUAGUCCCCAAACCUCACGUGGCUUUCAACUAGCUCAAUGUCUCAUAAAGAGCACUUCAUCUUUUUGAUACCAUAUGCCACGGUCAACAUCAAUCGCUCUCACAACGAGUUCACAAGAACACUCCGUUCAUUAAUCCAAGCCAAACUCACCGACGGAGUUAUCAGCCAAACCGCUCACCUCGGCUUCCACAAGUAGACCAAAGAUCACCAAUCCUACGUAGGCCUACUGUCUAAACCCGUCGCACUACGCAUAGCGUCUCUCGCUCGCAUCGUAGACCCAAUCAUCAUUGGGCGAAAUUCUCAUUGGAGAAUUCGCACACACUCCAACUAGAAGCAACCAAGACCCCAAACCACUAUAUAGCCUUCGGGUUGGGUCAUAAUCGAACUCUCGAUACACUAUCGAUUACACGAUCCACACGUGCAUUCCACGCUCCUGAGUCUAAGCUCGGACUACCGCCCCGACCAUAAAUCUCUGCCCCACCCGUAGGUCUCGAGCUGCUGUCACUCAUAGCUGACUGCGCCUGUCCAUAUGGCCCCAGGCUCCACAGUCCAUAAAUGGUCCAAGCACAGAUCGUCCCCAAGCCAUACCCGCUAACGUCGUCUCUCACGACAUGCUCUACCAAGCAACACACAUCUCUAUCGGCUCCUAAGCACCUAGUGCGAGCCACCAGCCCUACGAGUGAUCCAUGGCACGUUUCACACCUAGCAAUGCUCAAGUGCUACUGCUAACCCACUCACUUGGCUGAACCAAAUCCGCACUCCACGAGCACCUAUACUCGAGCGUCCUACGCCUUUCCAUUUCAAAUCGAGCACUAGGCAAUCUUACCUAUGCUCACCAGCACAUGAGCACAACUUCCCUCACCUUGGUUAAGGUAUUAUGAGACCAACUUGCCAAAAUUUGGCAACCGUCAAACUAUUCUUACCCUAGUGAUCCAUUAUCACUACUCAGUCUCUCGAAUCAACACCGAAAUUCUGGGCUACUAAGGCACCCUCAAAUACCAUGACUUGACUCUCGCACUCAGCUAUUCACAUUGCCCAGAGAGUCAGCCUACCAUUGCUAUCCUAACCUCGAGCCUAUCCUCGGCUCCUUACUAGCAAUUUACUUGCAUCACAAUAAUCAUCCAUCCGCUUGGCAGGCGAUACAUCCUCAUGACACAAGUAUGCCCCGGGUACUAACAGGUACCUACGUUACCCACAAUCAACAAGCACGUUGCUUCAUCAGCCUUUUACUAACUAUGAAUGCUCAUUCACUUUGAGCCACUACAUCUCAAGGCUAACUCGUUCAGAUCUAACAGUCAUCGCACCAAUUCUAUGGCAACAAAAACAUUCCCAUUACCAAACCGUCAAAGGGGUCCCAAAAUUGGUGUACAACCCUAAGUCGUUACUUCUUUCUACACGGUCGAUACCGUAUCCAUGAAGGUUUCAUAUACCUUAUUCACUCAUCCCUUUAACAAUUGCUUGAGAUUGUCAUCUCACGGAAGGGUUCCCUUGACCACUAUAACCUAUUUCCAAUGCCAUGGCUCCAAGGCUAUUGUAUACAUCUAUCACCUAUCCAAGUGCUUCUAAGCUCAUGUUUAGCCUUGAGCUCUCACAUCACCAAGUUCAACCUUAGGAUCCAACUUGGGUACAAUGCCACUAACUUCAUAUGCUAAAUUCUAUCCUUGGGUAAAUUAUCACAAGUGUUCUAGCCUGCUUCCAAGGCUCACAUGUCACCACAUAUACUUAAUUUAUCCACUUUCAUACAGGAGGGUUACAACCCUAGCAAAGGCCUUGCAAGAACCUUACCUUAGCCAACAACUUAAAAUUGCAAUAGUUUACCAUCUGCUCCCCGCAGCAUUGAGUACCGGUAUUAGCCAUGGAGUACCGGUACACCCGAGCUGGCAAAACCAAACCCGAGUGCUGCUACCCUCGGUCAAUUACGGGGUACCGGUACCAGCCUAGUUUCGUACCGGUAUGCGGUUUCACAGGGACCAUGUCCAAAUCUUAUACCCUUGAUCGUAGGUACAUUCCAAUAGUGCCUUAUACAUCAUUAGCAUACUGCAUAUUUUAUCCUCAGAUCACUGGCACUCUUCAACUUAACCCGAACUAGGUGUGCUACAAACACAUCUUGUUAGCACUACAAAUGGGCUAAUCACCCGUAAGCCCACUAAACUUACAAUCCCUUAAAGGAUUAAUCACAGACGCAUUCAUCAUAGUGUGUAAACACGCUAUGUUUGAUCAUCGGCCUGAACUAACAUGCUUCUACAAGCCACAUCAUGUUCCUCUACCUUAGAAGAACAAGGCUCCUCACCAAAGCAAGUUUUAACUCAACCCAUGAUUUUUCGUGUACGGCGUUCGGACCUUACGUGCAGGAUCCAAACUCCGAGAGCAUUUCCAGUCGAAAAAUUUUGGAAAUUUUCCAAUCUUGCUCUCCAAGAUCCCUUGCACCCCAAUCAUCCAUCUUUACUGGGGGCAACGCGUCCAUGUCCAUUAAGACAAGAACUAAUAAAUCUCCAUGGUUCCCAAUCCUGACACCAAGUCAAGACACGCAUUGGCUCCUCAAGACCACACAUCUCGGCCACAACGAGAGGCCUCGCCCUUAGCGACACUUAGCCCGCAACAUCGGAGGGCUAUCUAGACCUCCGCAAUAUCCGUCUCACCAAGUAACUUACCAUAGUCACUCGAGAGAUAACACGCGUACCUAGGCGACCCAAACAAUCGAACAUAAUCCGUCGCGCACAAUAGCCAACCCAAUGAAGCGAAAGUUAUAAAGGCAGGGGCGGCGUCGGUGGGUCCCUCGGGACUAGCGGGGUGGUGUCGGUGGGUCCCUCGGGACUAGCGGCGCGUCGACAGCAGCCGAGUGGCUCCCCACUGCCACAUGAGCUCCUAGAGCUCUGCCUCGGGCUGUGUCUACUCCUGGCACACGGUGGCAUCGGGGGCAGCUCAGGGGAGGUCGCCGGAACCCUAGGUGACGGCAACAACAAAGCUGGGGCGGCGGCAGCUCAGGGGAAGGUAGCUCGGGCCUCAUCUCUAUCAAUAACCAUAAUAGAAAGAUAGGGGGGAGAGGAAGAGAAACCUGGCCUCUCUACAGGCCGAGGAAGGUUGCCGGCAGCGAGCGGCGCGCCAGUAGGGACCAAGGACGAGGUGGCUGCGGGUUAAGGAAAAACUAGGGUUAGGGUUGAACUAUUUCUACUUAUAUACAUAUAUAUAUACAUAUAUGUAUUCAGGAAAUAUGCACUAAAAUCCCUCAAUUUGUGGUAUUUCCUCCUUAGUCCCUUACCAACUUACAGCAUCUGCAUCAAGCACCAACUCAGGGGGUUUUGCGCAAAUCAAACCUUGUAAUGAUGCAUCCAUUACGACAAAACCCCAAAUUCGAAAAUACUCCAACGAUUUCAUCUUAGUGCCAACUUGCACAAGAAAAUUCGAAUUUCGCAAAAUUUGAGAGGUAAGAUCAUCUCUGAGUCUAUUUUCAUGUAAAUCCCCUCACAAACCAAAACUGUAAAAUUUCUCACAUAAAAUGACAGCCCCUUCACAAAGUGCUUCAAAUUUGCACUCUGCAAAAACUACAAUUAGGCCCUCCAACCUAGAGUUUCAUACCGAAAACCCACCAAUGCGUGAGUUGUGUCCAAAGGCAUCAUCCCUUGGACACACAAAACUAGGCACCAAAGAAUUCUAAAAAGCAACAACAUCGAGCAGAAAAAGGCCAAUCUGCGAUAAAAGCAUAUUUUCUCAAAAAUCGUGCAACAAACGUAAAAUCGGAUAGUGUCAUCACCACCGGCACAGCUAGACCAUCGAAACGACCUAUUGGGUCAUCUAAAACAGAGUCCCAUUCACAUUUGAAGCUAUCCUCAAGCCGAUGCUUCGAAAUAAAUCCCGAGUAACUAUUCACUUAAGUAAAUAGUAUCCAACACCUUGCGCCUCAAUUAAAAAUGCGUUUAUCCCCGAAUUUAAUCCAGAAAUUCCAACGUGAAAAUACCAAUAAAACACUGUUGGAAGGCACCAAAUUUAUACCAUAAAAAAAUUCUUAGACCUCACAUUCUACCCACCUUUCGUUAUGAUUCUUUGUCACAUUUUUUAAGAAAGUAGUCGAUAUAUAGUUAGUAAUUGAUAAUGAAUAUAUAUAGUAUUAUUGUUUCUUUCUAUACCCUUUUUUUAAAAAAAUACUACUUGCACUACAAAAAAUCUUGCACUUAAGGACAUUUUAAACAAUAAUUAGUGACGCUUUAAAGCGUCGGCAAAAAUAAUCCCGAUGCUUGUAAAAGCGUCGAGCAAAGAGUCGUUAAAUAAACAUGUCGAGAUAAAUAUACCGACGUUUUAAUAUAGCGUCGGAAAAUUUUUAUAAAUAUUUGAUAAAAAUAUGUUUAUGUUGGGAGCCGAAUGCCCUGAUCCUUGACCCGGUCAAAGAUCUCUCUCGGGAAGAGUGUAGGGACGCGGAACGGCUACGAUUAGUGACCCUCAAAGUUUGCGCCCUUCGACUGGAUGAUCGUAUCAGCCGAGUUCGAAGACCUUUACUAUAGACUCGAUUCGGCUGGAAGAGCCGAAUGUACGGAAAACAAAGGAUUUUGGAUCAGUUGAUGAGCCGAAUAGAUAGAAUACACAGUGACUGGUCGGCUGAAAGAGCUGAAUACCUUUAUAUAUUAAAAUGAAGUUGGAAACUCAUACAAAACAGAGUAUGCCCGAAGGGCAUACAGACUCUGAAAAUCUAGAUUACAAUAGAGUGUACCCGUGGGGCAUACAGACCCCAGAGAUUAACUUAAAAACUACUCCUAUGAAAGCAAUAAAUGCGGGUAAAAAAUAUUACAUGUAGACUACUCCUGGAAAGCGAUAAAUGUAGGAAAGAAAAGUAUUAAAAAUGAGGUGGUCUUCUCGUUCAGGGGAGAGAAAGAGCUCUAUUACAAGCUUCAAAGUUACUAUUUAUAAUAUCUUAUCAGCCCACAUUAUUGGUUGGUUAUCGUAGUGGGGGAAGCGGUGUAGCCAUGAUUAUGAAAGUUACGCCCCACUUCACAUGGAAGUUACGCCCCACUUCUCAACUGUUCCCGCCUAAACGCUCUUGACCUUCAUGCGCCUUAUCGCUAACUCCUAGUGUACCACGUAUCCUUAUUUCUUUAGCUCAUACGUGGGUUAGGUCGGCGUGUUAAUUUUAAUUUUGGCAUCAACAAUGCCCCCCCAAUAGUCUUUCGAAUGAAUAUUCGGAUGACUAUUGGUGCCAAAUCGACUGCUCAAUAGCACAGCCGAGACCCAAGCUUUUGUUUCGCUGGUCUUGAUCGGCUUAAAGAAAACGUCUCUUUAUCAUCCCAGCCGCAUAUACCUCGGCUUCAUCAACCGAUUCUUUACUUUUACUCGAUUGGUUUAGCUCUUCUUGAACCGAAUGUUCUUCUAUCAAGGAUUUCUCCGUGAAGAAAGUGGCUCUUUACUAGCAGCAUAUACCUCGGCUUCAUCAGCUGAUUCUUCACUUUCACUUAUUUUUUGAACCGACUAUUUUUCUAUCAAGAAUUUCUCCUUGAAGAAAGUGGCUCUUUAGCAGCCGCAUAUACCUCGACUUCAUCAGCCAAUUAUUCACUUUUACUUAUUUUUUGAACUGACUGUUCUUCUAUCAAGGAUUUCUCCUUGAAAAAAGUGGCUCUUUACCAGCCGCAUAUACCUCGGCUUCAUCAGCCGAUUCUUUACUUUCACAUGAUUGACUUUUUGAACCGACUGUUCUUCUAGCAAGAAUUUCCCCUUGCCUUUGCUUUGAUUUUAAUAUCGGCUCCAUUGCAGCCGAUCGUCCUCACUUUUCUUCCGGAAUUGCUCAUAUUGGGAAACUCUAACACCUAGAUCAAAUAUGUUAGAAAAAUAUUUAUCUUCAAAAUGGUCUUUUAUCAUAAAAUGUAGACCAUUUAAUGCCAUUUUGGCGAACUCUGAUUCCGGCAUUCUCAUAAAGCACCGGAUUUUGGCUAUUUUGAAACGGUUCAAAUACUCUUCGACCGUUUUACCUGACUUUUGUUGGUAUAAAGCCAAGUCGGCGAUCGAUAAUUGUGGCUCCGACCUAUAGAAUUGCUCAUGAAAUUUUCUUUCCAGUUCGUCCUAAUCUCGGACGGAAUUAGCUGGUAAAUUUGUAUACCAAGUAAACGCCAUUUUAGUUAACGACGUGUUAAAUAAUCGAAGUUUUAAAAACGGAUCUACAGCGGCUUCUCGGCAUUGUGCCGUAAACCGUGCAACAUGUUCGACCGUAUUCUCGGUCUCAUCGCUCGAGAACUUGUUGAACUUCGACAUUUUCCAGUUUGCCGAAUACGGAUGCUCCACGUCGAUGUUCGCGGGAUAUGGCGACCUAAAUACAGGCCGCAUCGCCGGCGUUGCGCCAACUCCGAAAGUAUUUCGGAUGGCUUCUUCAAUUUGUGCAUAUAUUUCAUUAUUGUUUCCUUAGAAGGGAACUUGUAUUUGUGCUACAUUCGGUUCUUGUGGUAGCCCGAAAUUCUGUACAAUGGGGUUAACUCCUUGUAUAUUUGGAGCCUGCCCCCCAGUUCUAGCCCCUACAUUUUGGGGUUAAUAUGCUGCCACUGGCGGAGGAGGUGGUAAUCCCCAUGCUAUCUCUGGCUGUUGACCAGCAACAACAGCCGGUCUAUACAUCACUUGAAAUGGUGCCCCGUGGUAUUGAGGCUGACCGUUUACCGGUGUUACAGGAUUUUGUAACACUGGUGUAACCACAGGCCCUUGUAAGCCUGUUGCCGGUUGCUCGUUUCGAGUCAAUAAUUGCCCUAUUCGAGCAAUAUUCUCGUUCGAAGCCGUUCGAAGUCAUAAUUGCGGCUAACAUUGCAUCCAAACGUGCAGUGCUUCUAUGACUAUUCUGGUCCAACACUUGUAGGACCCGAGUCAUUUGCCCAAGCGCCUGAGGCAAACUAGGCUCUUGUUGGUCAGAUUGACCGCUAGUCUCACCUUUAGCAGGUAAGACAGCUUGACGUUCUCCAGCAUUAUCUGAACUGCUGGGUUGUUGGUCACUCCCAGGACUUCUAGGAACGACUCUAUUGCACAAGUUCAUGGCGUUAUCGCCAGCCAUUAUAUCUUAAUAAUGAAUAAAAUUACCUUAAAUGAUUAGGUCCCACUUGGCGUGCCAAAAAUUGUUGGGAGCCGAAUGCCUUGAUCCUUGACUUGGUCAAAGAUCUAUCUCGGGAAGAGUGUAGAGAUGCGGAACGGCUACGAUUAGUGACCCUCGAAGUUUGCGCCCUUCGACUGGAUCAAGCGAUUCGACUGCCAAGUUCGAAGACCUUUACUAUAGACUCGGUUCGGCUGGAAGAGCCGAAUAUACGGAAAACAAAGGAUUUUGGAUCGACUGAUGAGCCGAAUAGAUGGAAUACACAGUGACUAGUCGGCUGAAAGAGCCGAAUGCCUUUAUAUAUUAAAAUGAAGUUGGGAACUCAUACAAAACAGAGUGUGCCCGAAGGGCAUACAGACUCUGAAAAUCUAGAUUAUAAUAGAGUGUGCCCGUGGGGCAUACAGACUCUAGAGAUCUAACUUAAAAACUAUUCCUAGGAAAGCAAUAAAUGAGGGUAAAAAAGAUUACAUGUAGACUACUUCUAGAAAGCGAUAAAUGAAGGAAAGGAAAGUAUUGAAAAUGCAGUGGUCUGCUCGUUCAAGGGAGAGAAAGACCUCUUUUACAAGCUUCAAAGUUACUAUUUAUAAUAUCUUAUCAGCCCACAUUAUUGGUUGGUUAUCGUAGUAGGGGAAGUGGUGUAGCCAUGAUCAUGAAAAUUACGCCCCACUUCUUAUGGAAGUUACGCCCCACUUCACAUGGAAGUUACGCCCCACUUCUCAACCGUUCCCGCCUAAACGCUCUUGACCUUCAGGCGCCUUAUUGCCGACUCCUAGUGUACCACGUGUCCUUAUUUUUUUAGCUCAUACGUGGGUUAGGUCAGCGUGUUAAUUUUAAUUUUGGCAUCAACAGUUUAUUAGCGGCACUUAAUCAUAGUGUCGGCAACACUUAAUCAUAGUGUCGGCAAAUGCCGAAUAUUAAAGACGCUAGAAUAAAGCGUCGUUUAAAAAGCGUCGUCUAAAACAUAUUUUGUUGUAGUGUUGAGGGCCUAUUUGUAAUUUUAUAUUUUGUAUGUAACAUAUGUUGCAUGCUACAUUAUUCUUAGUUUAAGACAUGCUGGUUUUUAUGUCUUCCUUUUCUACCCUUUUUCAAUUAUGAUUUUUUCUUUUUUUUUGAGAAAAUAGUGAAUAUGGAUUGGUGAUUGAUAAUGAAUACAUGGUUUUGUUGCUUUUUUUUUAUUUUUUUGAAAAAAAAAUUGUUUCAAAGGGCAUAUUUUUAAUUUUGUAUUUUAUAUGUUGUAUAUGGUGUAUCCUAUGUUAUUCUAAAUUUUACGAAUUUAUUAUUUUUUGCGUCUUACUUUUCAACACUCCUUCUAUUGCUUUAAGGCGACGAUGAUAUAAAAAAACGUCACUAAGCUUGGUCAAUGCUUAUGUUCAGUUGAGAGUUACUGUUAUCUGAUAGAUCCUUAUUCCUUUUAAUGCAUGAUUCUUCUCUUGGAGGCAAUGACGCAGGCAAAAGAGAGACUGUCUUGUCGAUGGUUUAUUGCAUACACCUUGUGCACAAGUGCAUGUAAGAGAGAAAAUAAGAUAGUCUUCUUUUGUGGAUUUAUAGAAGACGAGAGAGGGGUGGGUGAGAUUCAGAAAAAAGGCUCAGGUUGAUUCUAGUCUAUUUAGAAGAUGAGUCGAGUGCAAUCUUCUUUUGAUUAGUGAAUCUUAUUUCAUCUGUAUUUUUUAUUUUUUUCCCUCUUUUAAGAUUGUAUCAGAUUUUGUUGAGAAGACAAGUUUAUGGUAAAAGUUCGAUUUGAUGCUUCCAUUGUGAAGUCUCAACAACUAGCAUCGGAGCGAGUACCAGAGCGAGUACUGAAUCAACAACAGUCGAUGAAUUCCCAAAAUCUAGUGUCAGGGCGAGUUCAAGAUUCUCAACAAUAUUUUGGUAAUGAUUCGUUCUUUUGUUUCUUUUUAAUAUGCUAGUGUUUCGAAUCAGGCUGGAAUUAAUUACGUUUUGUCUUUUAAUAUUUUUUUUCUUAGAUUGUACUUGCAUCUACUACUUUUUGUUUUCCCUCCUGUUGUUUUUAUUUAAAAUUUUUCAUUUUCUUUCCAUUCCUUUGAGGUCCUUUAAGGCAAUGACAAUAGAAAAAAAAAAAAAAAGUGCAAAAGUUUGGGUAGCCUACUUUGCAUUCAACCAUCUGCUAUCCUUUGUUAGGUCGGUACAGGCCACAGUCAAUCUGAUUUGAAUCUCUUAACAUAUGGAUUAGUUUUAAUGUUCCAUACUUAUAUUUUCAUUUUUACUUUAGUCAACUUUCUUAUUUUGCUCACUCCUUUACUAUGGGAUUUGUCACUGGUCUAGAAUUUCUCCAGCAUAAUUAUCCAAGUGCAUUUAUUUGCCUUGGAUUUUAGGAACAUAUUAACGAUUUUUUACUCUCUUUUGUCUUCCCUUUUUUCUUUCUUACUAUGUGUUUGUUAGUUGUGCUGCUCUCUCUUCUAUAUAUUCCUUAGUCUUGCAAUAUUAGACAAUGAUUCCUUAAAAAAAAUGUGCUAAUACUUCUUUUAUUUUAUGCUCCCAAUUUUUGCUUUUUCAACUUUAUGUAAUAACUACCAUAAUAUAUAUAUAUAUAUNUAAUGUCAAAAAGACUUAAAUUUGAUUUCUAAACACUUCAAGUGGUAUAGAUCAUAUUCAACGGAGCCGAUCGUCACUUUGGAAGUUCUAUCAUCGAAAAUAAAUAGGUAGUAAAACGGCUCGUUUACUAUCAAUAGUAUUCUAGCUCAACUAUAUAUAUAUAUAUAUAUAUAUAUAUAUAUAUAUAGCAUUAGGUGACAAGAGCUAUAGUAAGGUGAAAAAUAAAGGCAAGUGAACCAAAGAGAUAGCGAAAGGUGGCUUAUGUUGUCAAGGCGGGUCCGGAACAUGAGCCGGGGGAAGGAGAUGUAGAGCCACAGCAUCACAAGUGGAGCAGUUGGAGUUCUUUCUUUCCGAGCAGCUUCGUCUAUGAUCAAGGAGUAGAUGGAGACGCAUGGAAAAGGUGAGGAACGGGUCUUUUCUGAAUCUAGAGCGGAGGGACUUCCCUAGGGCAACCAUAGAGAUGAUCGAGCAGGUUCCAGAGGGUUCUGAAUGAAGUAGAAGGACUUGCGGGUUUAGGGCUCACGGGUGUUACAAGGUAUGGACCCGACCUGUUACGACCAAUACCGGAGCCCAAGUCCAAGCGGUCAAUUGGCCUACCUGAGCCCAAUUCAAAUAUUUUCCUUACACAAGUUCCAUUAUAUCCUCACUUUCUCUUGCAAUUAUAAUUUAGUCCCCGAAAUAGACUAUAAAUAAGGGGCGUGUAACCAAAUCAGUUAGAUUUCCUGAAUGCAUGUUGAAUUCAUCCUCCUCAUACCUCUCUCUCUCUCUUCUCUCUUCUCCUUUCUCUAACUCAUCUUCUACCUCCCCUCACUCUUUGAUCAAUCUCUUAAUCCAAUCCUUGGCAAAGACCAUUAAUGAGCUCUCCCUGAGCUUCGAUCUAUGGAGUUCUGGGUUCUCGAUCAUCAUCACCGCCAUCGACCUCAGUAAAGUUUCAUCACAGGAUGUUGCGGCUCCGAUCGGGGUUCAAAGCACGCACUGAUCUAAUCAUCACAUCCCUGAACCUAAUCGGCCAUCCGAAUCUCUGAAGUUUCCUUUGUCAAUGGUUGCCGAGAAGGAUCAGAGUUUACAAUUGGUAUCAGAGCAGUUGUGAACCUAGGGAUCUUAAGCAUCGAGCGCUCAAAUCAUAGGUACUACGCAUUACGACACACCUUAAAUCAUUGCUUGUGUGAUUGCUGUAGUUUUGGGGUUAGUACGGGGGAAUUGGAGAGUUACUUGAUGCUUCGGGCCAAUAUUGGUUGAUACAAGCCAAGUAACGGCUAAGAGAUAGGGAAAAGGGAGCCAAACCGAUUCAGAUUCUCACCUGUGAGCAAUACCAUGGCAGAGGGAACCAGGUUGAAGGAUCUGAGUGAACACAUCACCGUACUUGAAGGAAGGAUGCAAAAGCUUACUACCGAGUACCAUAGUAAGGGGAACGAGUUAGCUAAUCAAAUUACUGAGGUCAAAGAAGUAGAGCAGAGGCAUUACGAGGGGCUUCAAAGGGAAGCAACUGCAAGAUAUGAAUCUAUACUCAAGGAUAAUGCUAGUAGGCAUGAAGAGUUGCUUAAUCUGUUAGCAAAUCAGCAAAACCUCCUAAAUCUGCCAUGCAGUUCCAUUCAUCACCAUAUACAUACAAACACCCCGGUAAUCCAUCCGCUAGUAACAAUUUUUCACUAGAGGGUAGGAAAAUUAAGCAAAGGGAAAGGGUUGCUACCCAACUACCAGGGAAGUGGAGGGAGAAGAAUGAGGGAAAGCGAACAACUGGAGUAUCAGACAUGGAAAUCAAUCACACAACCCUUACCAUAAGUUGGAUUUUCCAGUUUUCAGUGGAGAGGACCCUCGGACUUGGAUCGAAAAUUGUGAACAAUACUUCGAUAUUUUUCAGAUUCCCAAACAACAGUGGUUAAGAAUAGCAUGCAUGCAUCUCUUAGGUAAAGCAAAAACAUGGAAACAAAGCUUCCUAAUUAACAAGCAUGGGGCUACGUGGAAUGAGUUCACUGAAGCCAUAAGCAGGAGGUUCUCUCAAGUAGGAGAAAAGUACCUCACCAGGGAAUUUUGCAAUCUUAAACAAGUAGGCACGGUGGAAAGAUAUCAAGAAAGGUUCGAGGAACUUAGAACUCAGUUGCUCAGUUAUAACCCUUACAUCACCGAAGAGCAUUUUAUUUCCUGCUACAUAAAUGGCUUAAAGGAAGAACUAAUUCCUUUUAUGGACAUAGCUUGUCACGCCCCGCCCCGAAACCACUACCAAUUUGGCACGGCUCAGCCGCGGCGGCGGACCGCCGAACGGACAGCAUCUCCCUUGUCCGCCGAAGGCUCAACGACAGGAAUGUGUACAAGAAUUUACCCAGGACUUUAAAUUCUAAACAUACACAUUCAACGAGGGCACAAACAGUGCCAACAACAAGAAGAGCAAGUAAUCCACAAGAUAUACGAGUGAAAUAAAGAGAGUACUUUACUAACUAUUACAAUAGUUGCAUUCUUUACAUCAUUUUUCAUUCCAAAAUACAUAGCUCUCCAAUUCCUCACCUACAAUAAAUNUUCAGGACUUAGCCAAUUUUUGGCAUCUCUCGCUGGGACUACGUUCGGGAACCGGUCCCUCCCUGCCAGGGACCGGUUGCAUCACGCAACCCCGCUACGCCCAGCCAGGGGAACCGGUCUCUCACCUGCAGAGACCGGUUCCCGAGAGCAACAUCAGCCCAAUGAUGCAGUUUGCCUCAUUUGCUCUCGCGGACUCAACUCCAAGGCACUUUUUGUGCUUUGGACAUUCCCAACUCCCACAAAGGGUAUACUUUCGACAAUUAGUCGAUCCUGGAUGAAGUACAAUCCUCGUAUUUCGAGAAUUCACUUCCUUACAUAGCUCACCCAGACACCCUAGAAGAUGCUUAUGAGCAAGCUAUGUUGCAUGAAAGGGCAUUAGCAGUCAUGAACAAAAGGGCUAAGGGGAGUUCAAGAGUGACCAAUGGACCACAUCAAUUUCCUUAUAACUUCAUAACCAUAUCAGGUGUUACAACCAACAAGACUGUGGAAGAUAAUAGACCCUCACAAGUCAAUAUUCCCAGAUCUCCCACAAUUCCACAGCAAUCUAAUAGACAAAUUAUGAAGCAUAGGAGAGUAGCUGGAUUAUGCUACAAAUGUGGAGAAAAAAACCAUUCAAGCCAUGUCUGCCAGAGUAAGGCCCUUAAUACUCUCCAAGGGACAGAAGAGCUCUUCGAGGUAUAUGAUGAGGAUUAUUUGUUAGAAGAAGAACCAGUGGAAGAAUUGGUGGUGGGUGUGGAGGAAGGAAAGGCAGAGCCAUUGGAGAUCGAAGUAUCAGUUCACGCCUUAAGCGGAAGAAGCAGCAAGGCACUAUUAAGGUGCAAGGGGAAGCGAAGAACAAAAUGCUUACCAUAUUGAUUGAUACCAGAAGCACACAUAGCUUCAUAGACCUUCGAACAGCCAAGAAUAUCAAGGCGCAAAUGGUGUCAGCUGCUCCCCUAGUUGUUAUUGUGGCUAAUGGGCAAAAAUACUUAGUAAGCUCCAGUGCCCAGAAUUCGCAUGGCUGAUGCAAGGGCAAAGCUUUAAGGCCGAUUAAGGGUGAUCGGAUUGGAAGGGUCUAGUGAAUUGACUGGUUAAAAUCUUAUGGGAAAAUUCUCUGACUUCCAAUAAAACUCAAUAACUAUUACCAAAGAUGGCCAAACUAUGGUGCUCAAAGGUGUAAAUGAAGGUGCCAAACUGAGAUUAAUCACUGCUAGACAGUGGUAUCAGGAAUUACACACGGGAGAAUGUUGUGUUCUGAACCAUUGCUAUGUACCAAAAAAAGAAGAUGAAAGUGAAGAAACAACAACCGAGCUGCUCCAGGUAUUGGUACAAUUCGAGGGUGUCUUUGAGAAGCCCAAGGAGUUGCCUCCCCAAAGGGUCGUUGAUCACAAAAAACCACUGCAACCUGGUAGUGCUCCAGUUAACUUGAGACCUUCUAGGCACUCUCACGAACAGAAGAAGGAGAUAGAGAAACAGGUUCGAGAGAUGCUACAGGCCACCAUUAUUCAACCAAGCAAUAGCUCAUUUGUCUCUCCCGUAUUGUUAGUUAAAAAGAAAGAUGGGAGUUGGAGGAUGUGCAAAAAGUUAAAUAAACUGGCCGUCAAGGACAAAUUUUCGAUACCCAUCAUUGACGAUUUACUGGAUGAGUUGGGGGGUUCCAUGUACUUUUCCAAACUGGAUUUAAGGUCUGGUUAUCACCAGGUGAGAGUUUAUCCUGAGGAUGUGCCCAAAACUGUGUUUCAGACACACCAUGGCCAUUAUGAAUUUAAGGUAAUGCCCUUUGGUCUUACUAAUGCCCCCGCCACAUUCCAAGCGCUUAUGAAUAUGAUUUUUGCCCCAUACCUAAGGAAGUUUGUUCUAGUAUUCUUCGAUGAUAUAUUAGUGUAUAGCAAAUCCUUAGAGGAGCAUAUGAAGCACCUUACGGUGGUACUGAAGGAACUCAGGAAGAACACUUUGUAUGAAAAGAAGAGUAAAUACACUUUUGGUAAAAUGAGGGUGGAAUAUUUGGACCAUAUUAUAUCAGAAGAAGGGGUAGCGACUGAUCCUGCUAAGAUUGAAGGGAUGAUUGCAUGGCCAACGCCGAAAUCAGUCAGAAGCUUGAGGGGUUUCUUGGGUUUGACUAGCUAUUACAGGAAGUUCAUACAGAACUAUGGAACCAUAAGCAAACCACUAACUGAACUCCUUAAGAAGGAUCAGUUUAGUUGGUCUCAAGAAGCACAGCAAGCAUUUGAGACUCUGAAACUAGCAAUGACUGAAGCCCCAGUUCUAGCCAUGCCUGACUUUACCAAACCAUUUAUUCUGGAGGUAGAUGCAAGCGCGCAAGGAAUUGGAGCAGUAUUGUCACAAAAAGGCAAGCCAAUUGCCUAAGUAAGGCCAUCAAAGGAAAGAAUUUGGGGUUAUCGAUAUAUGAAAAAGAAUUUUUGGCUAUUCUAAUGGCAGUACAGAAAUAGAGACACUACUUGACCCCCAGAAGCUUUGUCAUAAGGAUCUAUCACGAGAGCCUCAAAUUCCUGUUAUAGCAAAAAAUUACCACGCUCAUGCAGCAAAAGGGAAUGCUUAGGCUUAUGGGGCUCAACUACACCAUUGUUUACAGACGAGGAAGAGAGAAUAUAGUAGCAGAUGCACUAUCCAGGAAGGAAGUGGAGGAAGGGAUGGUCCUAAGUGCAUCAGCCGUAAAACUCGAAUGGGUUGUGGAAGUGACAAAGAGUUAUAAAGGUGACCCCCAUAGUGAAGCUCUCAUUGAGAAAUUAUCCCUGAAUCAAGGAUGUUGUAAACCUUAUACACUCGGACAAGAGGUAUUGAGGUAUAAAGAAAAAAUAUGUGUUGGAGAAGCUGGAGAGCUUAGGCCUAAGCUUGUGAGACAAUUCCAUGACUCUUUAGUUGGGGGUCAUUCUAGGGUGCAACAUACCUACCGGUGACUCAAGCAAUAUUUUUUCUAGUUAGGCAUGAAGAAAGAUGUGGAAGAAUUGGUUCGGAAUUGUGUAAUAUAUGCCCAGAACAAAACCGCUUUUCAAUUGCCUGCGGGAUUACUACAACCACUUCCUAUUCCAAAGCAAGUAUGGAAAGAUAUUAGCAUGGAUUUUAUAGAAUCCCUUCCUAAAUCUAAAGGUAAGGAUACUAUACUGGUAGUCGUGGAUAGGCUAAUGAAGUAUGCUCAUUUCCUACCACUACGACACCCGUUUUCGGCUAUAGACGUGGCUAAGGCAUUUGUGGGUACUGUCUACAAGUUACAUGGUUGUCUAGGAAGCAUAGUAUUCAACAGUGACAAAGUGUUCACAAGUCACUUCCGGAGAGAAUUGUUUGGGCUCAUGGGAACGCAGUUGAAAAUGAGCUCUUCAUAUCAUCCGAAAACCGAUGGGCAAAUAGAAAGAGUUAAUCGGUGCCUAGAAACCUAUUUGUGCUGUAUGUGUUUUGAACACCCUAAUUCUUGGUGUAAGCUCCUUCCCAAGCAGAAUGGUGGUACAACACCAACUACCAUUCUUUCUUGGGAAUGACUCCCUACCAAGCCCUCUACAGGGUCACACCCCCAAAUCCCUUAGCGGCCAUCGUUGAAGCAGCUACCGCACCAGGAGUUAAAGGUUGGAUGCUCGACAGAGAAAGGUUGACACGGGAGCUCAGGGAUCGACUAAGUAUGGCUCAGAAUCGCAUGAAGAAACAGGCUGAUAAGCACAGAAAGGAUGAGUACGUUGUGGGGAAUUAGGUGUAUCUAAAACUUCAACCAUACAAACAAAUCUCAGUGGCUUCGAGGAAGAAUCCUAAGUUGGCUGCUAGGCAUUAUGGACCCUUCAAAAUCCUAGCUCGAGUUGGACAGGUUGCUUACAAGUUGGACUUACCUGAAUGUUCCCAUAUACAUCCUGUGUUCCACGUAUCAAAGCUUCUUAAGAAGGGAGGAUUGUAAUAACUGCCAUAAAAAUAAUAAUAAUAAUAAUAAAAUAUAGCAUCAGGUGACAGGAGCUAUAGUAAGGUGAAAAAUAAAGACAAGUGAACCAAAGAAAUAGGAAAAGGUGGCUUAUGUCAUCAAGGCGGGCCCGGAACAUGAGCCAAGGGAAGGAGAUGUAGAGCCACAGCAUCACAAAGGGAGCAGUUGGAGUUCCUUCUUUCCGAGCAGCUUCGUCUAUGAUCAGGGAGUAGAUGGAGACGCAUGGAAGAGGUGAGAAACGGGUCAUUUCUGAGUCAGGAGUGGAGGGACUUCCCUAGGGCAACCAUAGAGAUGAUCGAGCAGGUUCCAGAGGGUUCCGAAGGAAGUAGAAGGACUUGCGGGUUUAGGGCUCACGGGUGUUACAAGGUAUGGACCCGACCCGUUACGACCAAUACUCGAGCCUAGGUCCAAGCGAUCAAUUGGCCUACCUGAGCCCAAUUCAGAUAUUUUCCUUAAACAAGUUCCAUUAUAUCCUCGCUUUCUCUUGCAAUUACAAUUUAGUCCCCGAAAUAGACUAUAAAUAAGGGGUGAGUAACCGAAUCAGUUAGAUCAGUUGAAUGCAUUUUGAAUUCAUCCUCCUCAUCCCCCUCUCUCUCUCUCCCCCUUCUCCUUUUUCUAACUCAUCUUCUACCUCCCCUCACUCUCCGAUCAAUCUCUCAAUCUAAUCCUUGGCAAAGACCAUUAGUGAGCUCUUCCUAAGCUUCGAUCUAUGGAGUUCUGGGUUCCCGAUCAUCAUCACCGCCAUCGACCUCAGCAAAGUUUCAUCACAGGACGUUGCAGCUCCGAUCGGGGUUCAAAGCGGGCACUGAUCUAAUCAUCACAUCCCUGAACCUAAUCAGCCAUCCAAAUCUCUGAAGUUUUCUUCGUCAAUGGUUGCCGAGAAGGAUCGAAGUUUACACUUUACUUCUACAUGCUCUGUCUUUUCUUCUAUUUAUCUUUACUCUUGCUUCUGAUAUUGUAAUAUACCGAAAAUUCGAAAAAUAAAUAUCGAACUUUAGUCAAGUUGACCAAAGUGAGAGGUCGGUAUCCUUCGGAAAGUCCGAAGGUGGUAAAAUGAGUAAAAGUGCGUUUAAAGGGAUCUUCGAGAGCGAAAGGAACAAAAAUCUACAAACUGCAGCUUUUGUGCUCUCGGGGACCGGUCCCUGGUAAGAGAGACCGGUCCCCGAACGCGUGAGAAACCCAGCAGAGGAAAAUUGGCUAAGUCCCAGAAGACCAGCUCUCGGGAACCGGUCCCUGCAGGGAAAGACCGGUCCACGAGAGACCGGUCCCUCUGGAGAGACCGGUUGCAUUGCGCGGGGGCCCUGGCUGCCUGCGGGGAGAGCUCUCUGGGACCGGUCCCUUGUCAAGGAGGCCGGUCCCCGAGCCCGAAUUCUGCCCAAUCCAGGCAGUGUAAUAAGAUAAAAGUUGAGGAGUUUAUUCGCAAUUAUGCAACCCAUAGAGCUACGUAUGAGGGGUUAAGAGGUGUUUUCUCUCAUUCUCUCCCUCACACACCCUCUCUUCUCUCUUUCUCUCACUAGAAGAUAAGGAGAAGAAAAGGACAAGGAAAGAAGAAAGAAGAAGAAGAAUGUGGAGAACAUGAAGAAGGAGUGAAGAAACUCCCUCAUCUCCUUCUCUAGCUUGAAGAAAGGAAAGCUUACAAGAUAAACUUCUUCUCCGCUCAUGGUAGAACCCAAACUAGGGUUUGGAUUGAGCUAAGAAUGGCUUUAAUGGAACCUUUAGAGGAUUUGAAACUUUCUUUUGCUUCUCUAAGAAAUCAAAACCCUAGAUUUGGUAUAUGUGAUGGUAGGGCACCCAAAUUUGAGGCUUUCACUUGUAAGGGUUUCAAAGUGAAAUUGACCCUCUAGAAACCUAAUUGGGGGUAUUUCCGAUGCGUUGGUGCGCUUGGAUUGACGUUACGAAAAGCCUAUGAAAAGUUAUGAGCAAAAAGGCCUAAUUUGGCUUCGUUUUGCCGCAGGUGACGAAUUAGGAGUCUAAAAAUCCCAAGGAAAUCACCGUAGCACCUAAUUAAGCCUACAAGGUGGGUGGUGCUCUCCAAACUUAUUGGAAUUCCUUUUAUGUCUAAUGUGCUACUUCUUGAGCAUACAUAAGUAAUUGUUGCAUGCAUAGUAGGGUAAUGAGAUUAUAAAUAUGUAAAUGUUUGCAUUUUGUGAGUUCAAGUGCAUCAUGAGAUGGUUGAGAACCAAUGAGAAUGUAAUAACCCUAUAUGUGCAUGUAAAAAGAGAUAAGAACUUAGUGAAGUUAAAGAACAAGUGACAUAUGACAUGAGGACAGUGUAAUGUUGAGAAUGAAAGCUAAAGUUAGCAUGACGUAUGACGUAAAGAACACUAGAGUUAGUGUAAAGACAUGAUGAAAGUAAAGGAUGCAAAGAACACUAGAGUUAGUGUAGUGAUAUGGUCAAAGUAAAGAAUGCAUAGAACAUGAGAUUGAGACACAAUGACAUUCAACCUUAGAGCUAAGGGUCAUUUGUGCAUAAACUCCUUAGAGUUAAGGAACAGAUUGAACUGAAUAUCCUUAGAGUUAAGGAUUGAUCAUACUCGCUAUAAGUCCUUACUCAAGGGUGGUUGCUCCCCCUCGGGCGAUGCGCUUCGGAGUUUGUCAUCACUGGGUUGGUGUUGUUCCCUAGAGGACGGUCCUAGCGGGAGGAAGCUGAGGGCCCGCGAUCAUGGAUUUUGAGUUGGUGAGUUAAUGAGGCGAUACCCCCGGGUUAGCCUUGAGAUUGAACGAAAAAGCAAGAACAAAGAAUAAAGUACAAAGAACAAAGAUCAUGCAUUCUUCAUGAGUUAUAUUGAGCAUCAUUAUUGAUCGCAUUGUUCAGGCAUAUUAGUUGCAUUGUAUAGUUUGCUACUUAUCUGCUUAUUCUUUCUAUUAUGCCUGAGUUAGACCUAGUGGGAAAGUCGGUGAGAUUAGGACCGAACCCAUUGGGAACUUCGUUAUAGUUCUCACCCCAUUGUUUCCACAUAGCCGGGACCGAGCGAGCCGGCGAGUGACCGCGGUAAAGGUAUCGCGCCAUAGACAGUGACUACCCGAGUCGGGUUUACAUUUUGUUAGUAGCCUAUCAUAUAUCUUCUUUCGUAUUUGAAGAUGUUUAUGUAUAAAGCAAAUGAGAGAAAAUAAUGUAAUGUUUCAUUUUGAGCAAAUGUAAUGUAAAAGAAAUGAUGCAAAGAAUGUAAAGGUUGAAUGAAAUGUAUAUGAUCAAAUUGAAUCAUAGUACUUAUAUAGUAGUUAGCUUCCUUUCUUUCACUCAUGGCUAUUGCUUACCCUCGUGUAAGCCGUUUGUGUAUGUUUCUGCUAGUGCUUUUCUCUACUUGUAAAUGCACAGGUGAUGAGCCUUGGGCUGACAGAAAAAACUCUGUCCGUUCGGCGUCUGUUCGACGUGCCUGGGCCGGGCCAAAUUGGUAUCGAUCCCGGGGCGUGGCAGAUAGAGUGGUAUCAGAGCCAAAGUGAAAGAAUAGGAAUGGACCUAGAGACCCUUAGGAUUGGAAGACCUUAAGGAUCUAGAAAACAUGAAUGACGUGGAAUCAAAGUUAGCGAAAACAUAUGAUUGGGUCGAGUCGGGAUGUCUCUAAUGUGAUUAGAGGCUAAGUUUAAAUUAACAUUCGUUCUCUAUUCCUCGUGUUGUGUCGGGCAGCCGACGACAUAAUGCUUGGGGUGAGAAUGAACGCAUAUGUUUGCUUUCGCCAGAUUGGGUAUGGUUCAGUGAUGUUGGUCAUGUAGCUAAUGUGAGUUGCUUCUUUUCAGGAAGCAAUGGCACCCCGUGGUCGACCGCAGACAAGGUUGAUGCCUGAGGAGUCGAAUGCGGCCCUCGAGCGUUCCGGAGUGAAUGGCGAUGGAGAGCUUAGGGAGCAGAUGGCCGCGCUUAUCGGCGUAGUGCGGCAACAAGCGGAGUUUGUUCAACGCCAAGAGGAGCAGAUUCAAGGGCUCCAGGAAGCCUUGGAGCGUCAGCAAGCGGCGGCGGCCCAGGCGGGUGUCGAGCAUGUCGCGCCCCCUGCGGUAGUGCCGAGCGUAGACGAGGGAGCGGCGGCAGCAGUGGCUGUGCCCAUCACGGUAGUACCGACUGGGUCGGGAACUUCAAAAUCCGAUAGUGCGGCAAUAGAGGCGGAGCAAGAGCACGCGCUGGCGGCUCUCAUUCAGUUCCAGAAGUUCAACCCACCUGUCUUUGAGGGUGGCACGGUGGAGCCGGCGGUAGUGGAGUCGUGGAUCGACUCAAUGGAAACACUCUUUGAGGAUCUCAAUACCUCGGAGCAGGACAAAGUGUACCUCGCCAACCAUUGUCUCGAGAAGGCUGCGAAGGUGUGGUGGAAAUGAGUUAAGCGGGAUCGAUCUGUCGAUCUUCCGCUUAUGAUGUGGGAGGAGUUCAAGAAAGUGGUAUUCGCGAACUACUUCCCCGACACGGCGAAGCGGAGACUACAAGAGAAGUUCCGCAAGUUGAGACAGGGUGAUCAAUCGGUGGGGGAAUAUGAGCAAGAAUUCUCUCACAUUAUCGACUGCAUCCCGGAUGUUGUUCGAGAUGAUCGGGACCAGGUUGAUUGGUUCUUGCGAGGACUCCAGCCGAUGAUUUAUGAGAAGAUGCAGAUCUUGAAGCUUACGACCUUUGCGGAGGUCUUUGAUCGAGCCUUGUGGGCGGAGCAUGGUAGUGCCCAUGUACGAGAGGAAUGUGAGGCUAUGGCCGAAAGCAAAGAUAAAGGCAAGAAGCGAACGGCGGGCGGUGCCGGGGGUCGGCCAAAUGCUAAGAAACCCCCUCGGUAUCCCCGACAGCAGUCGAGGAACUGGAGACCACCUCGGUGCGUCAUUUGUGGCGAAGAGCACCGAGUGUCGACUUGCCCGUAGCGUGAUGGCAAGUGUUUCAAGUGUGGCCAACCGGGACAUCUUAUCCGGGAGUGCCCGAGCUGGACGUCGUCCGCGCCGACGGCGGCAUCAGCACCGACUGCCCCGAGACAGCUUAUGGGGUUACCACCGGCAAUGUCGGCUGGACGCGCAUAAUCACCGCAUCAGCCGGAGGGAUCGAGAGCGCCUAGCGGCCGAGUUUUUGCCGCUCAGGUGGAAGAGCAGCCUGCAGCAACCGACGACAUUGUGGCGGGUAUAAUUAUGAUUAAUGGCACUAAAGCUAGAACACUGUUCGAUACUGGUGCAUCACGUUCAUUUGUAAGCACAUCAUUUGCAAAGACGCAUGGAAUAGAAAUGACACAUAAUGAGGACUAUUGGUGGAUAAAUGGUCUCGAGCACUCGUUCCGUGUUUAUGAUGAGUGCUUGGAGGUUCCGGUACAGAUUGGCGACUGGAUCAUGCCGAUAGAUCUGCUAGUGCUAGACCGGAUGUGGGGGUUUGAUGUUAUUUUGGGGACCAAUUGGCUCUCCAAAUACCACUCGGUCAUAGAUUGUGAAAGCAAGGUUAUCACUUUUCGUGAGCCUAACCAAGAGGAGUUAGUGUAUCGGGCGUGCAAAGGCGUGCGUUUUGCGACGACCAUGUCGUCAGUGAGGGCCAAGAGAAUGAUUAAAAGCGGGUGUAAGGCCUAUUUGGCAACCAUGGUUGAUGGUCGAAGGGAGCACCCUGAGCUUGAGGGUAUAAGAGUAGCAUGCCACCGGACCGGAAAGUUGAGUUCGUCAUUGACUUGAUUCCCGGGGCGGCGCCAGUUUCGAAGGCUCCGUAUAGAAUGGCACCGGUGGAGUUGGUGGAGAUUAAGGCCCAAUUGCAAGACUUGCUUGAUAAAGGCUUCGUGAGGCCGAGUGUGUCACCGUGGGGAGCUCCGGUGCUAUUUGUGAAGAAAAAGGAUAGCACACUUCGACUCUGCGUAGAUUAUCGCGAGUUGAAUAAAGUGACGAUAAAGAAUAAGUACCCGUUGCCUAGAAUUGACUAUUUAUUCGAUCAGUUGCAAGGGUCAAAGGUGUAUUCAAAGAUUGAUCUCCAAUUGGGGUAUCAUCAACUGAAGAUUAGACCAAAAAAUGUACACAAAAUGGCGUACCGUACGCGGUAUGGCCAUUACGAGUUCACGGUAAUGCCGUUUGGGCUUACUAAUGCCCCGGCAGCAUUUAUGGACUUGAUGAAUUGAGUCUUCAGGACGUUGUUGGAUCGAUGCAUCGUAGUGUUCAUAGACGACGUAUUGGUCUACUCGAAGAGCGAAGAAGAGCAUGAAGAGCACUUGAAAGCUGUGCUGCAAAUACUUCGACAAGAAAAACUUUAUGCUAAGUUGAAGAAGUGUGACUUUUGGCUAAAGGAGGUCACAUUCUUUGGUCAUGUGGUAUCGGGCGACGGAGUGUCAGUAGACCCGAAGAAAGUGGAGGUGAUCAAGGAUUGGCCUCGCCCGACGCUAUCAUCGGGCGUUCAGGCUCUUUUGAUGCCCGAUCCCCACAUUUGCUCGGCUUGUGCUCGCUCGACCCCAGCCGAGCACAAGCCGAGCAAAUAAUUUGCUCGGCUUGUGCUCGACCGAGCAAUUUCAUAGCUCGGCUUUUUAAGUCGAGCGCAAGCCGAGCAAAUAAUUGCUCGGCUUGUGCUCGACCGAGUGCUCGACCGGUUGCUUGUUAUUUAAUUUUUUCUAAUCUAAUUUAUAUAUAUUUUUUAUUUAAAUAUUUUAUAAUAGGUAAUCUGAAACUAGAUAAUCAACUUUGAAAUGUAUAUUUACUCAGAAAAAUAUUAAUUCGAGCGUAAAUAUAAAAAUAAAACGAUUUUAAAUUUAUUAUUUUUAUAUAUAAUAUAUAUUAAUAAAUAAAUACAUAUUUUUAUAUUUAAUUUAUUUAAUAUAUUUAUAUUUUAUAUACAUAAGCUCGACAAUAGCUCGGCUUGUGCUCGCUCGACUGGGGUCGAGCACAAGCCGAGCAAAUAAUUUGCUCGACUUUUUAGGUCGAGCACAAGCCGAGCAAAUGAUUUGCUCGCUCGGUUAGACCUCGAGUAAAGCUCGGCUUGUGCUCGACCGAGCGCUUGUCGUUCAACCUAACGGUGGGGAUGAUGCCUGGAGGCGAUACGAAAAGCAUAGCGAGGUCGUCAGUAGGGGUGGCACCAACUGCUGUUUCGCCCGACCCAGCUCGUGUUCGGCUCGAAAUGAGCUCCAGAUUGGCUCGCUCGUUUAGUAAACGAGCAACGACGAGCUGGAUUUUCAGCUCGUUAAUAACGAGCCGAACACGAGCUGGGGUCAGCUCGCUCGUGUUCGGCUCGAUAACAGCUCGAAUACAUAUAUUUAUAUUUAUAUAAUUAUUUAAUUUAUAUUUUUAUACAUAAAUAAAUAAUUAAUAUAUAAUAUAUAUUUUUAUUAUUUAAUUUUAGCAAAAUAAAUAUAAAUGCGACUUAAUUAUAAAAAGACUCAUUUAUAUGUAAAGUUUCAACUUAUAGAUCAAAGUCUAAUGGAUAAUAUUUAUAAAUUUAUUUUUUAUAUAUAUUUAAUCUAAUCUUUUUUAAUUUAUGUUCGUUGGCCAGCCGCGUGAGCCAGCUCGUGUUCGGCUCGUUAAUAAACGAGCCGAACACGAGCUGAAUUUUUCGCGGCUCGAUACUUAACGAGCCAUCCGUGUUCGCUCGUUUUAUAACAACGAGCCGAAACAACGACGACACCCCAGCUCGCUCGUGUGUCGGCAUCGUUUACACCCCUAGCCCCUAAGUUUCUCGCCCUAUUUGAAAGGAUUAAAGAGUUACAACCUUCGGAUCCUUACCUCCAAAAGGUUCGAGGCGAAGUUGAAAGUGGAAGUACCGAGGACUUGGCGUUGGAGCCGAUGGCGCACUCCGAUUUCGAAAUCGCUGGUGCGUGCCUAAAGAUGAUGAUAUUCGAAGGGCGAUUAUGCGAGAAGCGCACCAAUCCCCUUAUAGCAUACACGCUGGCGGCACUAAGAUGUAUCAAGAUCUAAAAGUACAUUAUUGGUGGCCAGGCAUGAAGAAAGAUGUUGGGGAGUUCAUGGCGCAAUGUCUCACAUGCGAACAAGUUAAGGCGGAGCGCCGGUUUCUGGCGGGAAAGCUACAAAGUCUAUCAAUACCCGUUUGGAAAUGGGAAGAUAUAGCGAUGGACUUUGUUACCGGUUUGCCUCGGUCGCAAAGCAGACACGAUGUGAUAUGGGUGAUAGUGGAUCGAUUGACGAAGUCGGCUCAUUUCUUGCCGAUUCACACUACGUGGUCGGGAGACAAGCUAGCUCAAGUCUAUCUCGACGAGAUUGUGAGACUUUAUGGGGUUCCAGUGUCGAUUGUGUCAGAUCGAGACCCUAGGUUCACAUCCCAUUUUUGGAAGAGUUUGCAAGAUGUGUUGUGCACACGGCUCGACUUCAGUACAGCGUUUCAUCCUUAGACUGAUGGUCAGUCGGAGCGAACGAUACAAAUCCUUGAGGAUUUACUUCGAGCGUGUGUGCUAGAUUAUAAAGGAGAAUGGCAUGAUUUCUUGCCAAUGGCGUAGUUCGCGUAUAAUAACAGUUAUCAAGAGAGCAUCGCGAUGGCGCCAUUUGAGGCAUUGUAUAGACGAAAAUGUCGUUCUCCUAUCCAUUGGAGCGACGUGGGCGAGAGGGCGGCUCUCGGCCCGGAUGUAGUGCGGGAGGCGGAAGAGAAAGUUCGCCUUGCCCGUCAACGGUUAGCGACGGCGCAAUCUCGGCAAAAGAGUUAUGCCGACAAGCGAAAAAAGGACUUAGAGUUCGCGGUUGGAGACGGAGUAUUUUUAAGAGUAUCGCCGAUGUGUGGAGUAAAGCAAUUUGGGGUCCGCGGGAAGCUAAGUCCCCGUUAUGUUGGACCAUUCGAGAUAUUGGAGCGCGAGGGUGCGAUGGCAUACAAGCUCGCACUACCACCGAGACUCGCGGGAGUUCACAAUGUAUUUCAUGUGUCAAACCUCUGAAAGUAUAUUCGAAACUCGACACAUGUAUUAGAGUAUGAGCCCGUGGAGUUACAUGAGGAUAUGACCUAUGAGGAGUACCCAGUGUGCAUCCUCGAUAGAGAAGAAAGAAAGCUGCAAAGUCACAGAAUUCCAUAUGUAAAGGUUCAAUGGAGCAACCAUGCUAUGCGAGAAGCCACUUGGAAGCUCGAGGAGACCAUGCGGAGAGAGUAUCCGCAUCUGUUCGAGUCGACGAGUUAAGGUAUGUGUAAUUUCGCGGACGAAAUUAUUUUAAGGGGUGGAGAAUGUAAUAUACCGAAAAUUCGGAAAAUAAAUAUCAAACUUUAAUCAAGUUGACCAAAGUAAGCGGUCGGUAUCCUUCGGAAAGUCCGAAGGUGGUAAAAUGAGUAAAAGUGCGUUUAAAGGGAUCUUCAAGAGCUAAAGGAACAAAAUCUGCAAACUGCAGCUUUUGUGCUCUCGGGGACCGGUCCCUGGUGGGAGAGACCGGUCACCAAACGCGUGAGAAACCCAGCAGAGAAAAAUUGGCUAAGUCCCAGAAAACCAGCUCUCGGGAACCGGUCCCAGCGAGGAGAGACCGGUCCCUCUGGAGAGACCGGUUGCAUUGCGGGGGGGCCCUGGCUGCCCACGGGGAGAGCUCUCUGGGACCGGUCCCAUGUCGGGGAGAUCGGUCCCCGAGCCCGAAUUCUGCCCAGUCCAGGUAGUGUAAUAAGAUAAAAGUUGAGGGAUUUAUUUGCAAUUAUGCAACCCAUAGAGCUAUGUAUGAAGGGUUAAGAUGUGUUUUCUCUCAUUCUCUCCCUCACACACCCUCUCUUCUCUUUUUCUCUCACUAGAAGAUAAGGAGAAGAAGAAGACAAGGAAAAGAAGAAAGAAGAAGAAGAAGGUGAAGAACAUGAAGAAGGAGUGAAGAAACUCCCUCCUCUCCUUCUCUAGCUUGAAGAAAAGAAAACUUACAAGGUAAGCUUCUUCCCCUCUCAUGGUAGAACCCAAACUAGGGUUUGGAUUGAGCUAAGAAUGAUUUUAAUGGAACCUUUAGAGGAUUUGAAGCUUUCUUUUGCUUCUCUAAGAGAUCAAAACCCUAGAUUUGGUAUAUGUGAAGCUAGGGCACCCAAAUUUGGGAAUUUUGCUUGUGAGGGUUCCAAAGUGAAAUUGACCCUCUAGAAACCUAAUUGGGGGUAUUUCCGACGCGUUGGUGCGCUCGGAUUGACGUUACGAAAAGCCUAUGAAAAGUUAUGAGCAAAAAGGCCUAAUUUGGUUUCGUUUUGCCGCAGGUGACGAACUAGGAGUUUAAAAAUUUCAAAGAAAUCACCGUAGCAUCUAAGUAAGCCUACAAGGUGGGUGGUGCUCUCCAAACUUAUUGGAAUUCCCUUUAUGUCUAAUGUGUCAUUUCUUGAGCAUACAUAAGUAAUUGUUGCAUGCAUAGUAGGGUAAUGAGAUUAUAAAUAUGUGAAUGUUUGCAUUUUGUGAGUUCAAGUGCAUCAUGAGAUGGUUGAGAACCAAUGAGAAUGUAAUAACCCUAUAUGUGCUUGUAAAAAGAGAUAAGAACUUAGUGAAGUUAAAGAACAAGUGACAUAUGACAUGAGGACAGUGUAAUGUUGAGAAUAAAAGCUAAAGUUAGCAUGACGUAUGACGUAAAGAACACUAGAGUUAGUGUAAAGACAUAAUAAAAGUAAAGAAUGCAAAGAACACUAGAGUUAGUGUAGUGACAUGGUCAAAGUAAAGAAUGCAUAGAACAUGAGAUUGAGACACAAUGACAUUCAACUUUAGAGCUAAGGGUCAUUUGUGCAUAAAUUCCUUAGAGUUAAGGAACAGAUUGAACUGAAUAUCCUUAGAGUUAAGGAUUGAUCAUACUCGCUAUAAGUCCUUACUCGAGGGUGGUUGUCCCGCCUCGGGCGAUGCGCUUCGGAGUUUGUCAUCACUGGGUUGGUGCUGUUCCCUAGAGGACGGUCCUAGCGGGAGGAAGCUGAGGGCCCGCGAUCAUGGAUUUUGAGUUGGUGAGUUAAUGAGGCGAUACCCCUGGGUUAGCCUUGAGAUUGAAUGAAAGAGCAAGAACAAAGAAUAAAGUACAAAGAACAAAGAUCAUGCAUUCUUCAUAAGUUAUAUUGAGCAUCAUUAUUGAUCGCAUUGUUCAGGCAUAUUAGUUGUAUUGUAUAGUUGGCUACUUAUCUGCUUAUUCUUUCUAUUAUGCCUGAGUUAGACCUAGUGGAAAAGUCGGUGAAAUUAGGACCGAACCCACUGGGAACUUCAUUGUAGUUCUCACCCCACUAUUUCCACAGAGCUGGGACCGAGCGAGCCGGCGAGUGACCACGGUAAAGGUAUCGCGGCAGAGACAGUGACUACUCGAGUCGGGUUUACAUUUUGUUAAUAGCCUACCAUGUAUCUUCUUUCGUAUUUGAAGAUGUUUAUGUAUAAAGCAAAUGAGAGAAAAUAAUGUAAUGUUUCAUUUUGAGCAAAUGUAAUGUGAAAGAGAUGAUGCAAAGAAUGUAAAAGUUGAAUGAAAUGUAUAUGAUCAAAUUGAAUCAUAGUACUUGUGUAGUAGUUAGCUUCCUUUCUUUCACUCAUGGCUAUUGCUUACCCUUGUGUAAGCCGUUUGUGUAUAUUACCGCUAGUGUUUUUCUCUACUUGUAAAUGCACAGGUGAUGAGCCUUGGGCGGACAGGGGAAACUCUGUCCGUUCGGCGUCUGUUCGACGUGCCCGGGCCGGGCCAAAUUGGUAUCGGUCCCGGGGCGCGACAGAUAUUGUGACAUUCUCUCAGUGUUUCCUUCUCUCAGUGUUUUCAAGCUUGGUGCUAGCUUAUGUGUUGUAUACUUUUAAAGAAAAUGGUGAUAGAAAAAAGGAAUAAAAAGAAAAAAAUUAGUCAAAUUUGUUUUCAGUUGAGGUUUAAGUUGCUUAUUAUUUCUAUGUCAUAUUUCUUAUAUUCCAGCUACUUUCUAGUGAUUUAUUUUGCAUUAGUUUAUGAAUUUAAAUAUUAUCUUGUGACUACUGCUUAUCUCUGCACACGCUAAAAUUAUUUCUUCCCUAAAAUGUUAUCUCAGCUUUAAAAAGAUCUUUCUACCUCCUCUUUGUUCUCACCCUUUUUUUUAAGAUUAAUGUUUGUUUUUUUACCUUUUUUCUCCUAUUAUUAUUAUGUUUGAGACAUGAUUUCUUCUUUUCUUUCUUUUUGUUAUUUUUUUUAAAAUUCAGUUGAUUCUAAUUACAUUUCAUUUGCUAAUAAUAUUUUGCACUAAUUUUGUUUGUGUCUGUCUUUCUUUAGUUUUUCUAUUGCUAGAAAGUUUUCACUCCCCUAUUAUUUUUUAUGGAAAAAAUGACUAAACUCUACCAGACUUAUAUUUAGUUUAAAUUUAUACUCUAAUGUUGUAGUUCUUUAUUCUUUAGGCUCUGUUUGGUAAUAGAAUAUCUAAGGAAUAAUGCAUUCUAUUCUUACUAUUCUUCCAAACAAAAAAAAAAAGAAUUGAUAAGAAUAUUUAAUUUUGGUCAAAAUGGUUUAUUCAUUGCAUUAUCCCUGGGGCAAUAAAUGAAAAAGUAGCCUCAUGAACCUCACCCACCUACCCCUGUUUUUCUCUUCUUUUUAAUUUUUUCUUCCUUCCUCUCUUCUUUACUCCCACCUAACCCUAAUCUCUUUGUUGAAUACCUUUUUCUUACUCCUCUCCUCUUUACUCCUCAAGAUGACAAAGAAGAAAAGUCUAUAUCCCUGGUCAGUGUAGAUAAGUCACAAUGGGGUGAUGCCCUUCACACAACGAUCACCGAGCAAUUAUGAAGUAAUAGAUAGGACUAUGUAGUAAUUAAAAUUUAUUUUUCUGAAAAAUACUUGUCUUCGCAACUCCUACCCCUGUCACCCCCAAUCACCGUCGACCGCCGUCUCUGCGGCCUCCCUGGUGUGUCCUAGGGCACAGGUGGCCGAGCCAUACCACGCCACCACCUCCACCACCGUUCGUCGCCGCCUUCCCAUCCUCUCAAUCUCAAGUGAGUUCCCGUAGUCGACCCCAUCCUUUCCGACCACCGCCAGCGUUGGAGCAAGCCAGUGAACCCAAGCCAAGCCCGAGUUGGCCUCGAGUUGGUACCGCACCCCGUCACCGCCUUCCGCCGCCGGUUAGCAUGCGCAACGACCUCCCUCCAGUCGACUGCACCCCCUGCCGCCGGUGCACCCGCCGCCGAGCCACCGCCAGCCGGGCUUGGCCCUCUUUGCUCCCAGCCUGCCCAGUUAGGGAUUUUUCCUUAUGUUCUCACUGUUCCGGUGAUUCAUAGCUGAUCUGACACCUCGGGAGGUGAGCACGCUGACCCCUGGACAGCACUGAUCACAAUACUCACCUGACUUGCUGUUGGAGAGGACAGCACUGAUCACAAUACUCACCUGACUUGCUAUUGGAGAGGCCCGGAUCAUUGAUUUCAGCCUUGUCGCUCUCGGUGUGCAUUGUUCGCAGAACUUCAGCUUGCUUCCGCGCAUUCCACAGCGAUCCGCGGUGCUCCGGACAAUGAGCACGGUCUCUACCUCGUCGAGACCUGUCAGCCAGUGUCUCAGCUGAUCUUGAAGUACUCGGUUAGCGGUACAAAGCCCUAAAAUUUCUUGUUUUGCAUAUAUUAUUAUAAUUAUGAAUAGUGGCUUUUAUGCAAUUUGUCACCUUGUAGCUGCUAUGAGCAGCGUGUAUGUGUGGAAGGUGACCUCUAGAUUGAUUGUCUAAGGUUCGAAACCUUUCGCGGAGACCGAAUAUUGGUCUCGAUGCGCUUUUCGGCGAAAUUCGCCGGCGGAAUACAGUUUCAAUUCGGAUUUCAUCCGAUGCUGUUGGAAUACGCUUGGUUUUGCUGCUGAGCCUUGUUGGCUGGUCGCCUACAUCUUCUCAAGUGUUCGAAGAUGAUGGGUGUACAGCGAAGGGUCCCGGUGUCGAAAUUGACACUUUCGAGAACCCGGAUCGGAACGAUUAUCCGACAAUAAUCACUUCAACGUGAUACCUUGUGGUUGCUGCUAGGACACCCAAAAUGGUGUGUUUCGAGGCAGUGGGUGACUCCUGACAUGAGUCGGUGACUUUCGGGACACUUCAUGGGUCCCGACGGCGUCUCGAUGUGAUUUCCGAGACUUUCGGCGAGUUACGGAGAUCGAUUUUGCAAAAUCGAUUCCAUGGGAAAUCUUGGGAUCUGUGAGUAUUGUGUUUUGAGUCAGCAGGUUGGACUCUAACUCUGUGGACCCUUCGUAGGCUCGGUCGAUGGUUCUGCACAUCUUAAGGACAUACACGUCAGAGAUUCAAGUGGUAGUUCAAUCCGAAGUCGGUCUAGUGGUGCACGUUUGGUGGCGUUCCCUCUGCCUUCUCUCUCUAUAUGCCUUGCAUUACUUAUGAUUGUUGAGCCUAGCACUAUAUGACUUUAUUGCAUGUUGCUCUACUCAAUUACUUUUACAUUCGUUUAUUAUGAUCUAGAAGUAGAGCGAUUAUUUACUGUACCCGUGGAUUUGUGGCAUCCAUUGUGACCUAGUUGGUCGGUUCUAUGACUCUCGUUGUUCGAUGACCUAUUCGGUCGGUAUACCCUAAGGGGUUUGAUUGUUGGCUACUUGCCAACUGCUAUUGAUCAUAUUUGCAUCGAUCGUCAUUGCUCGUACGCAUUUCACGUACACCAGUGGUUUGGCCACCGCAACGGUGUGUUCUUUUUCGAAAAAGCAGUCGGACUUCCGACCCAUGAGCCCAGGAGCUUAUGCUAGGGUUAUAUGCUAUUUAAAGCAGCAUGGCACUUACCUGAGGUCUUUAGAUCGACAUAGCGAAUCUAGAUUGCGUACUUUGGGACUAUUGUCCGGUUGAUGCAAUUUACUUAUAGUGGCGGUAGUUGUACAUGUAUCUUACUUCAUCUUUUACUUUGCUACUGUAUUACUUUUCACGGCUAUACUUUUGGUUACCAAUGAAUACACUCGCCCUCGUCGGCUUGCGGUACCCACUAGGAGACCUUUUUUGGUUUCUCACCCCCCCUCCCCUCCCUAAAAAAAAAAAAAUUUGGUGAUCUUGGAGGUACAAGUCGGGACGAGGCGUGAGGCACGUAUCUACCGAGCGUUAGAGGUCCCGGCUUGGUGGCAUUUGGUUCUAGACUUGCCCUUUCUUUUUUAUGAAUAAUUAGACUAUUGUAGUUCAUCUUGAUUUGAAUCGAAGGUGAUUUCGUUUUGAGAUUUCAAAUAAAGUUAUUAUGGAAAUCGUGUGUCACGCCUGGGACCCAGCGGAAGCCCGCCCGGUGCGUGUCCAGACCCGCCAUAUGCCCACAACAUAUAAGGCGUAUACAACAAUACAAUAAAUAAAACAAGGAAAGAUAAAAACAUCUAGUAUGAUAUCAAAGCAUAAAUACAACUAAUCUCUAGAGACAAAUAGGAAUGUAAAGCCAAACAACUAUAAUAAUCCAUAAAGUAAUAUAUACAUCUCACAAUAUCCACAUGAAUAAAACUAAGUACAAAAGUGGUGGUCUCUAUACAUUGGGUACAAAACGUCUCUUUCUCCAACUAACACAACAUGAGAAAUGACCACCUAGUAGAAAUCUCCUGGCUAGUCUAGCUAGAUGCGACCCCCUGCCGCAAUCCCUAGUCUCUCCCGGAGUGAAUGGCUCUGUAAACAAAAACGUCAACAAAAUGGGAAUGAGAACUAUUAGUCAAUAAUUCCCAGUGGGUAAGCUACCGACAUCAGCGAAAUACACCACUAGGUCAUGGAGGCAUGAGUAGUAUAAUGUAACUAAAAUAAGCAACAUGUAAAAUAAGCAAGUAUUAAUUUACUAAGCUACUAUCCCUCUAAUUAGUAUGAUAUUCAACAAGUAAUACUGCUAUUCUAUCAUGAAUGAGCAAUGUCCAAUGAGUCCACUAAUAUGCACUAAGCAUGUCCACUGAAUCCAACUAAUAUGCACUAAGCAUGUCUAAUGAAUCCAACUAAAGCACACUAUCUAGCAGUGAUUGUCAUAUUAAUUGUUUAAAUGUCAUUUUUCAAUUCCAAUCUAGGACCUACACAAGUAUAGUCCUGCUUGCCCCGCCUAAUGGCCCGUGAUAGUCCAACAUUCCUCGUCUAGGAAUGAGCCUGUCCCACGUUGACCCAGUAGGCGCCCAAUCCCGUGCGGGCGAGCUUAUGUCACGUAGGCUAACUCCGAAGUGCCGGCUUGUAGGGAGCGACCCUCACAAGCAUGUGCGAAUGAGCACAAUGGCAAGCAAGCGUGAUCAUCCAUCUCAAGUCCACGGUCGUCAUGUCUAAAACAUAGUACAAGUACUAGCAACCCAAAGGUCUAUCUCUAUGUCAUAGUAUAAAGGUUUAACCGUUUACUGAGUCAAAUUGUCACUUUAUGACAUUAAUGUUCUCCAUGUCUAGCACAUGUCCUUGUUCAUAAGCAUGUAAAAGCUUGUUAUUUUACUAAAUAUAACAUGAUUUCCAACAUGGUAUAAAGAUGCCAUUUUACAUGCAAAUUUACUAUACAAUUCUCUCUCUCUACUACAUAGAGGCUAUAAUUAUGACAUGUAACACAUAAGCUUUAAGCAUUCAAAAAUUUAUUUUUGCUCUAUCUAGCAUGAAUAUACAUGAUUUUCCAUCUUAAACCAUAAGAAAUAAGAUAGGAGGAGUUCACCCAUUUCGGCAAGGUCAAACCCACCGGAUACCCCUCGAAACCUCUUUAUUUGUGCGAACGAGGUUGUCCACAAGCCUCCUAGCUCCCUAACAAAAAUUCCAAAAGGGUUAGAGGCUUCGAACGAACACUCCACGAAAUCCUCAAAAAAUCAACCCAUAAAUAGGUAGAAAAAUACCUUAAGUGGUUGAGAACUCUUCCAAAAUCCAAAUGAAGGCUAUGAUGCUUCAAUUCCAACCUUAAGGAAGGUGUUUAAACCAACAAUUAAGCCUCAUUGGUUCUACCAAGAGAAACCCUAAAUAAAAUCCUAGUUUUUCAAAACUAGCUUUUCAUCCCAAAAAUCCUCUCCAAGCACAAUCAAAGGAAGCAAUCAAAGCUACUAACCUCUUCUCAAGCUCCAAACCAAGCUAGAAGAUGCUAGGGUUGGAGAUCUUUCCUCAACAAAGCUCUAAUCCUUCACUCCAAAACUUCUCCAAGGUCCAAGUAACAACACCCAUGAAGAAGAAGCAAAAGGAGGAGAUCAAUCCAUAAAAUCUCUCAAGAAAAGGAGAAGAAAUCAAGAGAAGGGAGAGGAGAUGUUUACCUCUCUUCUCCUCAGGUUCCAGCACAAAAGAACUCCUCAUGGGGGUGUGGGGGAUUAUAUAGAGAUGUAACAAUCCCAAAAAGACCCCUCAAAAACAAGCAGUCUGCGAACUGCACUGCGUAUCGGUAUGCGAGCUAGAGUACCAGUGCCCGGCAGCCGAACGCGCAAACGCGAGCCUCUGUCAAGCGAGCAGCUUGCAGUGUACAGGUACCCGCGCGAUGCAAUACCGGUACUAAGCUCCAGUACCGGUACUCGGGCAAGUCAGUACCGAUACUCUGCCUCACAGAGCUCAAACCCGAGAGCACCCCUCUCAAUCGCGCGACAAGGUUCCGGUACCUCUCUGUGGUACCGGUACCCAGCACCUCAAAACUUGUAGUUUGGAGGUUUUGGUGCUAAGUACUCACCCUCGCUCUUCAAGACGCGAGUGAAUAAGUCGGAACACAGUCUACUACCCUCAAACACACCAAGAGUAGUACUAAAUACUAUUCGAACACUAGAACCUUACAAUUUGCUAAAGUUCAGUGUGCUACAUUCUCCCCUCCUAAAAAGGAAUUUCGUCCGCGAAAUUAAAAAUCAAAUACCUCAAGAUUCAAUCUGAAAAAGAUAGGGAUAGCGCUCUUGCAGCGCGCUCUUCAACUCCCACGUGGCCUCGCGUUUAUCAUGGUUACUCCAAAGAACCUUCACAUACAGAAUAUCACGAUUCUGAAGUUUCUUCAGCUCGCGAGCCAACAUCCUCAUAGGUUGCUCUUCAAAGCUCAAGUUAUCCCUUAGCUCCAACGGCAUAGCAUUCAAAACAUGAGCUGGAUCGAAGAUAUACUUCCGGAGUACCGAAACAUGAAAUACAUUGUGUACUCCCGAUAGGUUCGGCGAUAGAGCAAGCCAAUAUGCUACCAGGCCCACACAUUCUAAAACCUCAUAAGGUCCAAUAAACCGAGGGCUCAACUUUCCCCGUAUGCCAAAUCUUCUAAUCCCCUUUGUCGGCGAAACCUUCAAGAAUACAUGAUCUCUAACUUGGAACUCCAAAUCUUGUCGACGCUUAUCCGCAUAGCUCUUUUGUCUACUUUGAGCUCCCAUCAAUCGCUCUCAAGGCGAACCUUACCUUCUGCUUCCUGGAGCACAUCAGGGACUAAAGCCAAUCUCUCACCAACUUCAUUCCAAUGAAGAGGCAAUCUAUAUUUCCAUCCAUAGAGUGCUUCAAAAUGUGCCAUUUUGAUGCUUGCUUGAUAACUAUUGGUAUAAGCAAUCUCUACCAUAGGUAAGUGCUGUGACCAUCCUCCCUAGAAGUCUAUCACGCACGCUCGAAGCAUAUCCUCUAGAGUCUGAAUAGUACGCUCAGCUUGCCCAUCACUCUGAGGGUGGAAAGCAGUGCUAAAGUCCAAUCGAGUGCCUAAUGCAUCCUGCAGACUCCUCCAAAAGUGUGAUACAAAUCGGGAAUCUCGAUCAAAUACUAGAGAGGUAGGCACUCCGUGAAGUCGCACAAUCUCAUCCAAGUAUAGUUGUGCGAGUCUCUCUCCUGUCCAAGUCGUGUGAAUAGGAAUAAAAUGAGCCAAUUUCGUCAACCUAUCCACAAUCACCCAAAUAGCGUCAUACCUGGCCUGUGAACGGGACAAUCCCAUUACAAAGUCCAUGGUGAUUUUCUCCCACUUCCACACGGGAAUAGAUAAAUUUUGAAGUUUCCCCACGGGCAAUUGGUGCUCAGCUUUCACCCGUUGACAAGUUAAACAUCAAGCCACAAACUCGCCAACGUCUUUUUUCAUUCUGGGCCACCAAUACAAUAGCUUGAAAUCCUUGUACAUCUUUGUACCUCCCAGAUGUAGAGCAUAAGGUGCACGGUGAGCUUCUAAAAAAAUAUCCUCUUUAAUUUUCGAUUCCGCCAAUACACAGAUCCGAUCGCGAAACCACAAUAAUCCUCGAUCAUCCACAAGAAAGUCACCGGUGUAACCAUUAACCAUUUUUGCUCGAAUCUUUUGCAACUCCACAUAGUGACUUGCUAUUCUUUAAUCCUUUCCAAUAAAGUAGGUUACACCACUAAAGCCAUCAAUCUCAAAGGUGUAUCCGGAGCCACCACCUCCAACUCCAACUGUUUCAUCUCUUCAAUCAAUGGUGGUUGCGAGGCUACAAGUAUAGCCAAAUUCUCCGUCGACUUUCGGCUCAAUGCAUCCGCCACCACGUUAGCUUUUUCCGAGUGGUAGAGAAUCAUCAAAUUAUAAUCCUUGAGCAACUCUAGCCAUCUACGCUGCCUCAAGUUCAGCUCCUUCUGAGUGAAAAGAUAUUUCAAACUCUUGUAAUCCGUAUAUACUUCACACCGCUCGUCAUAAAGAUAAUGACGCCAUAACUUUAAUGCAAAGACUACGGCCGUCAACUCCAAAUCAUGAGUAGGAUAAUUCUUUUCAUAUUCCUUCAAUUGGUGAGAGACAUACGCGAUCAUCUUUCCAUCUUGCAUCAAAACACAUCCCAAUCCAUUAAAAGAUGCAUCACUAUAAAUCACAUACCCUGCUCUAACAACUGGCAAGGUCAAGAUCGGGGCGGUCGUCAACCGUUCUUUCAACUCUUGGAAGCUCCUCUCGCACGCAUCAUUCCAUGCGAACUUAGUGCCCUUGUGCGUGAGCCGCGUAAGGGGAGUAGAUAACUUAGCAAACCCCUCGACAAAUCUCCGGUAGUAGCCGGCUACUCCAAGAAAACUCCGUAUCUCUGUGACAUUGGUCGGUCUAGGUCAAUCCUUGAUAACUUCAAUCUUUCUAGGAUCCACGGCUAUACCAGAUCUCGAGAUCAAAUGUCCCAAAAAUGCCACUUCUCGAAACCAAAAUUCGCACUUUCUCAACUUAGCAAAGAGCUUCUUUUCCCGAAGCAUUUGAAGCACCAAUCUCAAAUGUCCUUCAUAAUCCUCGUUACUUUGGGAAUAGAUCAAAAUGUCGUCGAUAAACACCACGACGAAUCUGUCUAGAUAAGGCUUAAAAAUAAGGUUAAUUAGAUCCAUAAAAGCUGCCGAGGCAUUAGUAAGCCCGAACGUCAUGACGGUAAACUCAUAAUAUCCAUACUGUGUUCUAUAAGCCGUCUUCGACACAUCUUUAGGCAUGAUUUUCAACUGGUGGUAUUUCGACAGCAAGUCGAUCUUGGAAUAUUCCCUUGACCUUUGAAACUGAUCAAAUAAGUUGUCAAUCCUCGGCAACGCGUACUUAUUCUUGAUCGUGACUUUAUUAAGCUCACGAUAGUUCACGCAUAAGCGAAGUAAUCCGUCCUUCUUCUUGACGAACAAAUCGGUGCUUCCCAAGGCGAGACGCUCGGUUGAAUAAAAUCCUUAUCCAACAAAUCCUGCAGCUGUACCCUCAGCUCUUUUAAUUCAGCGGGUGCUAUCUUAUAGGGCGCCUUCGAGAUUGGGGUAGUGUGAGAUCCCUGGUGUUUGGCUGUGGGGGCUUGUCGACAGCUCUGAAGAGUGUUGGGACAAGUCCGAGUCGCGUUGGCGUCAAAUAGACGCAAAACGGACUCCGUGCGACGCGAGGGCAGCAUUCAGCGAAGGAAUCUGCGAAACAGCAGAUUUUCCUGCUUGCUGUACCGGUACAAGUGUAUGCUGUACCGGUACAACCAGCGCGGGGAAUGCUUGCUGUACCGGUACAAGNUUUAUGUACAUAGUUGUUUAACUCGCCAGUGCGAGUAGUUUUGUAUUUUGGAUGCUAGCUAUGUAUAUGAAACUCAGUUAUUUAGUUGUUCUUGAGCAGCUCUAUGCUACUGUUGUAGUAUCGUUUUUCUACAGGUACUUUGACGCUUCGUAUACAGGGAAAAUUCCUUUGUAUACGGCGGAUUUGUCGACGUGCCCGGGGAAUGUGAUAUCCGGGGCGUGACAGGUAGUCCCAGGGAAAAGAUCUACCAUAAACUCUAUCUCCUUAUCAAGUGGCAUACGCGGUAGCUCCGCUGGAAACACAUCACAAAAAUCCCGUACCACCGGAAUAUCCUCAAUCCUAGAGGUAUCAUCACUCCUCAAUACAACACUAGCCAAAAGGGUACACAACCCCUUCUAAUCAAUUGCCUAGCUCACGAAGAGCUAAUCAUCAUCGCAAAUAGCGAGCUCUGACAUCCCUUGAAGACCACUUCCUCCUGACCCCCAAUUCUCUAAAAGUUACCGUUCGAUUCUUGCAAUCGAUUGUGGCAAAAUAUUUGAUAAGCCAAUUCAUACCCAGAACCACAUCGAUCUCUCCAAGCUUAUGCAGCGCCAAAAGAUCCACGGGCAUAAUCCAAUCACCCACCCGAACAGGACAACUGAAGCAAAACUCCCGAAUAUUCAAAGUGUGGUCGGGUACAACAAUAUGUCUCGGAUGCAACAAAGGUACAAAUGGGAUGCCAUGCAACUCGGCAAACAGCCAAUCUAUGAAUGAAUGCGAUGCACUGGUAUCGAAUAAAGCUCGAACUCUUUUGUCAUUUAAUAAAAUGAUACCUGCUACCACAUGCUCGGCUGCAGCCGCCUCCUCGGUCUGGGCCGCGUACAUGUGCCCUCUCGGAGUCUGUCGUGACCCCUCAGUCUGACACUGGACGAGUGGCCGCCCAGACUGGUAAUGCAUCGAUGGAGUCCCCUGGCUAGAAGACGGUGAAGCCUGUGCCAACGCAGAUGACGACACUGGUAGCGAACCCCUCGAGCAAUCGGUCUGAAAAUGGCCCUCCUGGCCACACAGAUAGCACCUGCCCCUACGUCGUGUGCACUACUGUGGAGAAUGAGGACCACCACAGAUCACACAACGCGCAGCCUGGCGACUAUCAAAUCCUCCACACUGCGCGGACGAGCCACACCCUCGGGACUGGCUCCUCGGGUGUCUCGGCGGCCUCCUAGAGUGCAUCUGGCUACUACUCCCAGCCGCUCGUCUCUUUCCUACCCUUGUCCAUGCCUUCUCUUUGCUCUUGUACAGCCUCCGUGCCUUUCUCCACAAUAAGUGCGCGGUUUAUCACUUCCCGAUACGUCUCCAGAUUCAACGACUGGACGAAGCGAAAGAUGGAUGGUCGGAGAACUCUCACUCGUAAAUACAGGCCUUGUCCUCAUCAUCCCUAAUCACAAAGGGAAGACAGUGAAGGUGCCGGGAGAACUCGCACUCGUACUCGGCUACAGUCCGAUCUCCUUUGCGCAAGUUGCGCAAAUCCUUUUCCAUCUGUCUCUUGACACUUUCCAAAAAAUAAGUCGACAAUAACAGCUCCUUGAACCGCUUCCACGUGAUACCUGACAGAUCCGUGUUGGGGUUAUCCCGGAUGUCUGCCCACCAACGGUAGGCCUCGCCAUCUAGGUGGUGAGUGGCGAGCCAAACUCUGUCACGCUUCUCCACAAAAGUGUCGUAGAAUAAUUUCUCUAUGUGCAUGAGCCAUUUCUCCACGAUCCAGUGGUCGGCCUUCUCUCCAUCGAAGAUCCGAGGAUUACACCUCCUGAACUCGUUGAGGCGAUCCAUGAGCUGGUCCCGCUCCUCUCCAACGACCAUCAUAGAGAAAACUGCCCCCGCCGGAGGCACCUGAACCGGUGGUGCCGCUACAACCUCCUCCCGGGGCUCAGCGAUAGGUGUAGCUCUAAAUUUACCGGGCACAGGAGACGACCCCCUCGCUAUCACCUCCUUAACUGGCACGGGUGGUGGAGGAUCCUGAGUCUCCUUAGAAGCUGUCUGCUGAAACAACAGAUCCUCAAGUCGCUUCAUCCGUGCCUCUUGCCGGCGAGCCGCAUCGGCUUGUUGCUGAGCCGCCGCCGCCGCCUGCUGUGUCACCAAGUUCGUUAGAAUAGAGAGUUGUGUCCUCAACUCACAGACCUCACUAGAUCCAGAGGUAGCAGAGGUUUCCACCUCCUCAAAAUUUGUCGCAUUAUCCUCUCCCCCUGACUUAGAGUGAGUCGUCGGCAUCGCAAGCUAUAACAUCAUAAAAGCGCAAGUUAGUAAAACCCACGCUAUCAGAACCCUACUCAAAGGAAGCAACACUCCAAAUCAUGUGAAAGUAAUGAAGUGUGCCUCACUACGAACUUCCGAUGUUACGUUGUCGGCAGCCAACGUAACCCUCCGCGAAGUUAGAAGUUAUACACUUCAAUUAAACUCCAAUAUUUUAGAGUUAAUUCAAAACCCAAUCAUAAUAGUUUCGCUUACAAGUCAAAUAGACCCCAUCUCUCACGAGGCUAUUUCCUAUAGUCCAACCGGCCUAAAAUUUGCUAGGUCCACUAAGACUCAAGCCUAGGCUCUGAUACCAAUAUAAUCUGUCACGCCCGAGACCCAGCAGAAGUCCGCCUGGUGCAUGCCCAGAUCCACGAUAUGCCUACAACAUAUAAGGCAUCUACAACAAUACAAAAAAUAAAACAAGAAAAGAUAAAACAUCUAGUAUGAUAUCAGAGCAUAAAUACAACUAAUCUCUAGAGACAAAUAGGAAAGUAACGCAAAACAACUAUAAUAAUCCAUAAAGUAAUACAUACAUCUCACAAUAUCCACAUGAAUAAAACUAAGUACAAAAGUGGUGGUCUCUAUACAUCAGGUACAAAACGUCUCUCUCUCCAACUAACACAAAAGGAGAGAUGACUACCUAGUAGAAAUCUCCUGGCUAGUCUAGCUAGAUGCGACCCCUGUUAGAUGUAUGCCCUAGAAGCCAACCAGGCCGACACAUGUAUUCUUUCUAGGACAUAAAUUUGUAUUUGACUUUAAAAUAUUAUGAAUAAAUUUGGAUUCUUAUUUUCAUUCAUGUUGUGUAUGUGUCCAUGAAUCGUCCAAGGAAUUAAUAAUAUAAUGACAUAUAUUCUCAAGUGUUGAGAAUUUGAGACAUGUGUCAUUAGUGGUUAAUUUCUAAAUGCUCCCGAUCAAUGGAUCAUCACGAGGACGGUGAUUGAUCCGGUAAGAUUGGUGCAUAGGUCGCUUCCCUUUUUGGGUAGACGGGUCUCGAGUCGACAGUGUGGGGACACUGAAGCGAAUAUGCAGGUGGUUGUUAGAGAACAAGGAUACCGAGCAUGACCAACGCGAGAAGUCACUUGGAUGUCUACUCACUCGUCAGUGACUUACUCAAUGUUGCAGUAGUGUGACUAGUCCUUUGACCUGCGGUACCUCGGCUAUUCACAAUGAGGUUAUUGUAGUUUGACUGUACAUACACUUGGUCCCUAGCUAUUCGAGUCCUUGCGGUGCAUGUUGGCUGCAGUAGGUUCAUUGUAGGAAUAGGGUGCGCACUUAGAUGGAAUCUAUCUCCCUUGGUAGAUAGGGGUGUUAGUCCUAUGUGAUUUAUGAGAGCGAGUUUAAAAAACCUUGGCCAGGGCAGAGUUAAUAGCGGAAAAGGGUUUACGAUAUUAGAAACUCGAGUCGAAUAAAUUUAACAUAUAACAGACGAUGGGGUUUGACGAGUUAUUCCAUAACCUCCGUCUAGUCGGGACUCAUGAUAGAAGGAUUGUAUCACACGAUAACUGCACCAAGAGGUUCAGUAUUUCAUUCUACUGGAAUGCCACUACAUGCUGCUAGGCAUCACUGGUAAAUUGUGAGACUCAUGAGAAUUAUCUAGAUGAUCGAUAAUUCUCAUUGGGUUGAGUUGGAAUUGUUUCGAUCCACUGAAAGGAGAAGUUUCAGUGAUAUUGUUGAUAGUGAUCAAAAUACAUCUCACUACCAGAUAGAAUAGAACCUAUAGGGUCACACACAUAAGAGGUUGUGAUUGAUCGGCUAGCUAGAUAGCGAUUAUUGAAUCGUCGGAGGACCUAAUUGUCAAUAUGUUGAUAAUUGGACUAAUUUAUAAUUGUUACAAAUUAGUGGUAUUAAAGUAUAAAUAUUACAAGAGAGGACUUACUAAUAGUUAGUAAAUUAUAAGAGGACUUAUGUGCAAAUGUUGCAUUAUUAAUUUGAUAAGAUCAAAUUAAUAAAAAGUUCAAGUCGAAUCAAAUUAGGAUUUGAUCGAUCUAACCAACUAAGAAAAUGAUAAAUUUAAAUCUAGAUUUGUACUUAUCCUUAAUUGUUAUUAUAUUAUUAGAAAAACGAUUAUAUUCCUCUAUAUGAGCCCAGAACAGCAAGCUGGCAGCUUCAGCCUACAAGGGUUCAAUAUAGAAAUUAACCCAAUUUUCAAGUCCAAAUGCAGUGAAACUUCACACAACUCACCUCAAAAGGCUAAAGAGAAAUUCCCCGGGUUCCUUACUAAAUUUGAGCUCAAAAUGAUCACCAAAAAGCCUUCACACCAAUUCGGACCCAACUUCUGGAUGCCCAGAACCUGCAUCUAGAACUUCAGCACUUAAGCAAAAAUGCAACUCAGCUCAAAGCUAAGAAUAUCCACUUUGAAUUCCUGUAGAGAAGGGUCUAAAACCUCAAUGAAUAAGUAGGGGAUCACUCCAUAACCAGUAAUAGGCACGCCAUCAAAAUCUAGAUUCAAAAAUUUAAGAUUUUGUAUCAAAACCUCAAAAAUCAACAUAUAUAAGCUUAAUUAUCCAAAUCUGAGUUAAAACUCACCUCUCAAAUCUCAAAUUCAGGUGGAAAAAGCUUCUAAACCAGUAAAGGAUGAUGGAAAACUAAUUCCCACAUCAAAAAUCUAGCUCCCAAAGCAUACGGAUCCAUAAACACCAAGAAAACCUCAAUUUCAGCUCAAGAAUACCAAAAUCUCAAGAAAACAACAAUUUGAUCAUACUAACCUCAAUUACUUGCUGCUAAAUUGGCUCCACACACUCUCCCAUGAGUCCACAAUCCUCCAAAUCAAGUUUCAUAGAAUUCGGAUGCUCCUAGACUGCACACGAGCCAAAACUCCAAAGAUCGCUAUUGGAUAUCUGCAGAAUUAUAAGCUUCCAAGGUCCAAAAGUGGAGUUGAGAGAGAUUGGAGGGGUUAUUUGCAAAAAUGCAGGGUUUCCUGUGAAACAGAGGAGAAAAGGGUUCAAGAGGGUCGUCCAAAUCCUUUUAUAGAAGUAGGGGUUAGGUGCAAUAAGCCUCAAGAACAACCUGUGCUAACUUGAACUACUGCAGGAAAUCCAAGAUUCGAACGCCCUAAACCCAGUUCUGGGCGUCCAGAACUUUCAUCCUGCACGACUCAGUCCUCGGGUUCUCCGUCUGGCGGUCUGGUGUGCCCUAAAAUGGUCUGGCGGAUCUCACCUACCACACUCACGUGUCAAAAGGAUCGAUAUUCACGAAGUGAACUUUCGGGCCCAACUUCUGAGCGCCCUAAACUAGGUCCGAAAUGACUUCAGCAUCUAAUACAAAACAACACUCAGGAUCUGGGCGCUCUAAACUAUUUCUAAGUGCCCUAAACUGCCAAAACUUCAAUCUUGGCUUAUUUAAGUGCGUCGAGUCCGUUUUAGCAUCCAUUUCGUGCUAAAACGACUCCGACUCGUCCCGACACUCUACAGAUGUGUCGACUAGUCGCUGAUACUGUAGUCAUUCCAUUAACCAAACCCUAGGGACAUUACAACAAAGCACCGAUAGCAAUCCGAUUGCCCAACAGAGCCAUCGGAGCGAGCUAAUUGCCAUUCGAUCCGGUAAAAAGGAAAUCAUGGAAAUCCUCAUCGGAGGAGUCGCACACAAGAGAAAAGGAGUCCUCAGAGGAGUGAAUGGGACACUUAGGAAAGAGAUAGAAAAGCGAGGAGAGAGAGAGAAAGAUAGGCAUAUAGGGAGGAUGAGAGGGACAGAGUCGGUGAGAGAGAAGAGAGGGAGAGAUGAUGAGAUCAAGGGGAUGUUUAGAGAAGAAGUAGGGGUAGGGAAAGAGUGGAAGAAAGAGAGAAAGAAAGAGAGAGAGAGAGAGAGAGAGAGCCAGGAGGCAAAGCGAGAGAGAAAGAACUAUCGGAGGAGUCAAGGGGGUGCCUAGAAAACGGUAGGCGCGCGAAUAGGGGAGAAAGAAAGAAAUAGUCGAAGAAAGAAAGAGAGAGAAAAGGAGAGGAGAGAGAAAGAGAGAGACAAGAGGCAAGCGAGAGAAUGCCAGUGGCCAAAAAAAAAGAGUGCCAAGUAAACAAAAAAAAAAAUGCCAAAUAAUAGAUUGUAUAGAUAGAUAUGCAGGACUCGAAUCCUGAUUUUUUGGUUAGCCCAUUGUAAGGCCCUAAAAAUAAUGAAUUUCAUUUUCAUGUUUGAGUAGUGCUAUGCUCUUCGAAACAAAGAGCAUGGUGGUGCUAAUCCGGGAGUUGAUUCAGCUCACCAAAUCAGGAAAAAUAAACUCCUUUAUGUUUAGAAUAUUAAUUCACCAAAUUCCAAAUACAAUGAUACAAAUAAUCUAUAAACCAGUGACUCUAAAAUAUAUAUUUAUACUCCCUAUCAAUCAAUCAUAAAGAAAAAACCUUGUUUAAAAAUAAAUACUUUUGUCUUCUAAUAAUAUUAUCUUUUUAUGUUCCUAUUGUAUUGACAUCUAUGAUGCGGAGGCUUAUAACUAGCUCGUACACGCGCUCACAAAUGCCAUCUGAGUUUGUUAACAUAUCAACAAUAUAUAAAGGUAACAUUAUAGAAAAUACAUCACAUUACAAGAAAAAAAAUAAAAAUCACUAGAGGUUUAUUAUUGGACAGAACUCAUAAUCCGUGCUAUCUCCACUUGCAAAAUAAGCACAGCUAGCAUUUCUCUUAACUGGUCCCCAGCUGAAAGGGAUUAAAAAGCAGAAGUGUUGAGUCAUACAUCUUCCAACAAUAAAUUGAAGUGAACGAGUCAAGAAAUCCCUUACUUAGCUUGCACUCAUUUGAGAAUCAAGCAACUCAGUAAACAUAUAUUUUUAUGCACUGUUCUAGGCUAUUGAUUAGGUAUCCAUCCAUAAGUAAAUCCAUACAAAAAUUUGCUAUUGUUCUAACUCAUUCUAAGAUAUCCCUUAAUUCAGGAACAACAAGAAAAAAGUAAUGUCCCAACCCCCAGAAAUUUAGUUCCCAAGAGAAACGCCACCUUAGAAAAGUCCUCCUGAAAAGUCAUGUACACAUGAAGGAAUUAAAAUGCCAACACCUACUGAUCAACUAUCUGGAUAUACUAAUAGCAAACACUGAAGAUCUCAUAAAAAGUAAAUGGACAGAUGAUCAUGUUCGAAACAACUGCAGCACAUCUACCAGACUUUCUUAUUAACCUCGUCACUUGUUCUCGAUUCACAGAUAGAUAACUGUUCCCAGUUAGAGAACAGUUCAAGUUCAUACCGAAGACACAAGUUGGUGCUAACUCUAGCAGUAAACGAUGUGAAAUAGCUAGGUGAGCACAACCCCCAACUAAAUAUUACCACAAUUUCAAAUUAGAAGAAGAGAGAACCUUCGUGUCAUCACAGGACAAAUUAAUACGACCAUCUACAUUCCAAUCCAUAGCCUUGAUUAGCAAUAUGGAGAAGUAAGUUUGACUAAAAAUCACGACAGCAUGCUAUGAGUAUGCUUAUUAGUAUAGGCACGGAAGGACAUAUGUAAACGUAAGUGAACAUAACAUGUCAAUUCAUGUUACCAUGACAUAUGAUGCAUUUAUGACUGAUUUGUUUCUUUAAGCUCGAACUUCCCAAUCACAGAUAAGACUCCAAAUAAUAAAUACCACAGCCCAUUGUUAAGCUACCAGCAAAUGUUCACUCUUUUUUGACAAAAAAAAACCCUGUCCGCCAAUCAUAUUCUCAGACAGAAGGCAAAAAGCCGAAGUGUAAACUUAGUCCACAUUUGAAUUCCACUUAUGUUUCUUUUGUCUUCUUAAAUUCAAGAUUCUAUGUGAUUAAAUGUUAUGGUAGACAGAAUUGACUCAUUGAUUAGCUUUCUAACUCAGCUUUUUUCUUUUCAGGAGAACAAGAAUGAUAAGAAGUUUCUUCUUAAUUUUUUGUUUCUUGUCGACAAACAAACAAACAAACAAACAAACAACAUACAUACAUAUGACAACAGCCGCAUAAAAUCUGACAACAGAAGAAAAGGUAAGUUCUACAAUACAGGGCCUUAAUAAUUGGGUAAAGCUUCCUAUAUUACUUCUGCCAGAUGUUCCAGUAACAAGUAACUACAGAAGAGUUGUUAAGGAUAACCUGGAAGCACAAUACUUUAACAACAAAUCCAAUUGAAAAACCUUAGAUGAAGAUAUCUUGCAUGAAAUGAUUAAGCACUUCCUUUCUAUGGUAACUAUUAUGACCUCCACAAGUCCUCACGAGAAAGCAGGUUUUCUUCGGCUCUCAAAAGUUAUUUUUCUUUGAUAGAUUCUACAACUGAUCAUCAUACUUCUAACAUUUAACCAACAAUCUUUUUACCACCAGAGGUCAAAUCUUCCGAUUUCAAGCAAUGAAAAUUACACAUGGAAUACAAGCAUAAUUCUCAUGACAUGCAAUAGUUCAGUAUGCAGUCAUUCUAUAAGAUGAAACAUACACAUUAAGAUCUUAAGAUAACCUCACUGGAAAGUACAAUGUAUCCCUUUUUAGUUAGACCCUACUAUUAAUGUAGAGCAUGUUUUGAAGAGGAUGAACAGAUAAAACAGUAUGUCAGGAUGAAGCUCUUAUCUCCAAAUCAAUUAAUAAAACAAUCAAGGUAAUUCUACCCACGAGUUGCAUUGUUUCGAAGUAGGCCUAAGGUUUUUCUAUCUAUUCCUCUCCUAUUAUUCGAUCACAUUAUUAGUAUACCAAAAGAAUAUCCUCCAAAAAUCAAUUCCACCAAAACUCCCCAUUAACGCGUAUAAUUCAUCUGGACUAGUUGAAUAAGAAAUCAAAUUGACUUCAACUCUACUUUGAGGUUUGAAAGCUUCAAAGUGUACUGUCACAUCCAAGAACCUUAUGUAUAUCACUAGAGGAAAUUGCCAAACUUCAACAAUGACAAUACUCAGCAAUUAUCUCUUAUCACAAACCCAUAUACAUAACUAGAAUGCUAGACAGCAUUUAACAUCAGUUAAUAAGAAACAAAAUAUUAUAGAAGUACAUUUUCCUGGCUUGUCUGAUCAUGAUAAACAAUCUAAGGAAAAAGGACGAAAAUAAUAUCCGUAAAAUUGGAAUAUUAAUACCAACAAAUUCCUGAAGACAUAAACAAUCAACUAGAUAGUAUACAGGACAGAGAGUUUUGUAAGAGAAAAUAUAGACAAGUUUAACUGAUUUAUAUAACAAACAGGAUUGCAUCACACUGAAUAUUAGGAAAGCCACAAAGAGGGAGGCGAAUUCAGUUUCUGGCAACAUGAAAAGCAUUCCUUGGAUUUUACAGUAGUUAUGAAAACAAGUCAAACACUUUGGCAAACUAUAAAACUGCAAAAGCAUCUCAGUAAAAAAAAAAAAAAAAAAAAGGAACACAGAGUAACCAGCACACAAAGUUAUCUACUCUUUAUAAGAUGUCAAUCAAGAAAUGAUCAUUGGUAACUAUAUAUCAAAUAUGACUAUCACGGCAUAAGCUUUCCAUAACAUUUCUCUUUGCAAUUUGCCAUCGGCACUAAGUUAAAUGCUUAAUUAUCUAACAAAAAACAGAUUCGCUAGAUAGACAGUUGAGUACCAUAUGCAUUUCCGACUAACGAACUUCAUAAUUCGCAACAAUCUGCCCUACUAACUCUUUAAACAGGGAAAGCCUUCUCCAUUGAGAAGAAAUAGUCUCCAUGCUAAUUCAUACACCACCAGGUUUACCGAAAUCCACAGAAAACGAAUGCUAACAAGUAACUGCAACACAAAUUCAACCUUGCUUCCAUAUGUCUUCGUCAAAUACAUUUCUUGCUUUCAAAGAACCAACAGUAAACAGUGGAGGUUAAAAUCUACCAUAUGCAUGCAAAAAAUGCAAUCAUUCUUCUAUAUGUUGAUAAGGAGAGCAUUAGUAAAAAGAACAGAAUAAGAACUCUCUCGGAAACAAAAGGAAAUUAAAUUAGAGAUCAGAACACAAGAUAACUCAGAUUAAAUUAGAGAUCAGAACACAAGAUAACACCUUUCCACCGAAUUCAUCACAUCUGCAUUCUUCCACAACAAAGCAAAGCACACCACAAAGCCAACCCUACCACAUUCUACAAUUACAAGCACCGAAGUUAUAAACCCGCCAUUGAUCCUUCGAUUCCUCUUCUUAAAUUAGAGCAACACAAAACACAUAAACACCAAGUUAGCAUUACAGAAAUCUAAAAUCCCGAUCACACAAACCCGACCUCCGCGAACUGCGGCCUCACCUUGGGAGGCCUGCCACGCGGCCUCUUGGCCCCGGCGCCGUCCUCCGCCGUUUCUGCCGCCUCGGUCGACGCGGCGCCGUUCUUCGGGGGCCGGCCCCGGGGCCUCGACACCUUGGCGGGGGCGAGCGGGUCCCGCGGCUUCGGGGGCCGGCCGCGGGGCCGCCGAGGGCCGGGGGCCUUCGGCUUCGGCGGCCGCCCGCGGCCGCGCCUCGGCGGCGCCCCGGCGUCAUCGGCGGCGGCGGAGGGCGCGUAGUUCCCGUUGGGCAUUCGGACGAUCUCCCCGUCCUCGACCAUGCGGGCGAGGUGCGCCCCGAGCGAGGCGUCGUGCGACGGGGACAGAUCGCCGCCACGCGCCGCGUCGACGUGCUUCGAGAUCGCGGAUCUGGGUAAGCCCUCCGCUCCGUCUAGGGUUGAGGUCGCGAGCGCGUCCAUUAUCAUCUGCGCGAGACAGAGACGGAGAGGGGGUUACGGAUUCGCAGAUUAGGGUUAGGGUUUAGAGAUUUAGAGAGAGGGAGAGGGAGCUAGAGGGAGAGAGGAAGAAAAAGACCUGGGGAUAGGAGCCUGGAUGCGGAGAAGCAGCUUCGUCAGUGGGAGUGGAAGUAGCCAUUGAGAGGGAUUGAGAGAGAGAGAGAGAGAGAGAGAGAGAGAGGGGUGUGUUGGUGCUGGGCGUAAGUGACGAGGAAGGGAAAGGGUGGUGGAGUCCGUGGGGUUGGGAGUUGCGACAGCUGAAACUAAAACGGGGUUGGACGCGCGUGCGGGCCUAAACACGAUCUUGCCGACUGCUGACCUUCCGGUGGACAAUCGAUCAGAUCCUGUGCGCUAAUCCAGACAGAACAUUUAUUUCGGCUAAACCUGUUCUGCCACGUCAGCAGUAAAUUGGACCAGUUAAAAUGCGAAUGGAUUGCAUGUCAACAUUAAUUAAAUUUUUUUUUUUUGGGUAAAUUAUAAUGAUCCUCCAUAAAAUUUUAUUUGGAUUACCAAAUUUUAAUUUCUUUCCACCAAAGUACUGAAUUUUAAUUUUAAUUUUACUUAAAUUACUGUUGAGUUUUAAUUAAAUUACUGUUCAAAUUCUAAUUAAUUUUCUCAAGAGAUUAUGAUGAGAUGUAAUUUAGAAAAUAAGAAAUGACAUGAAUUAAACUUUUUAUAUUUUUUUUUAGAAAUAAACUUAGUUGGAAAUAUGAAUCAACUAGAAUUCGAACUUGGAAUCUCGGAUAUCAAUUAUCAAAUUCUUUAUCACUUGCGUUAAAAACGGUCAGCAACGGAAAUAUUAUUUCAAAAUUAUUAUCAUUCGAUUGCUAUAUUAGUUGGAAAGUUGAUUUAAUAACUGAAUUAACAGUUAGAUAUUCUCCAAGUGAACAUUAAUUAUCAUUUUAUCUCUAGAACAUAAUGUGAUAGUUAAAAUAUCUAUGGCUUUACUAUUUUGUUUGAGAAAAUUAUAAAAAUUCAAUAAACUUUGCCUGAUUAAAAUAUAAUUAAAGUUUAAUGACUUAAUUAAAAUAAAUAAAAUUCAGUGACCUGAAAUUAAAAAAAAAAAAAAAGGCCUAAAAGUUAGCCACUUGCGUCAUUUAUCCUUUUUUUCUUUACUCAACAAUUGGUGUACGUAUAAUACAACAGUAUUCUGUUGCUGUUUGAAAACCUAGCCCUCAAGUUCUUACUUUUUUAUUUUUUAUAUAGCUAAGAGCAAACAUUUGUUUUACCCUAAAAAUACAAGAUUUACAGAAUAAAAAUAUUGCUACACUUAUGCGUAGCUAUGCACACAUAAAAAAUCAUAGCAUUCUUGCGAAUAAUGGAGUUGUCAUAAAAUUCAUGCAAAUAAGCAUAAAUUGUGUGGAUCUUUCAUCAUCUUAACCAAAAAAAACUUUCUAACUUUACCUACAAAUAUGAGUUGUGAGAGAGUAUUUUUCAAAGAAUGUAUGAUAUAUUAUAAAACUCUAUUUUGCAUGUCCAAACAGCUCUUUAUUAAAAAACAAUAGAAAAACUUCAAAUAUCGUCACUGUGGUUUUGCACUUUCUCAUUUUAAUACUAUGCGGUUUAAAAUAUAUCAUUUUAAUAUCACAUAGUUCAAUUUUUUUUUUCUUUUCGUUAUUCAUUUUGUUAAUUUUUCUAUUAAAUCAGUGACAAAAUUAAAACUAUAGGGUACUAAAGUGAAAAUUCGGUGAUCCAUAAAAUACUAAAAUGAAUAUUCAAUAAAUCAUAAGUGAAGUAUCCGAAGUUUUUUGUAUAUGAUUUAAAGAGUUAACGAAAGUACUGUCGUAAAGAGAAAAAUAAAACCACGGGGUACUAAAGUGAUACACUUUAAACUAUGAAGUAUUAAAAUAAAAAAAAUGUGAAACAACGGAGGUGGUAUUUAAAAUCUACCCAAAAAUUAUCUGUCGUACUUGAAAACUCUAUUUACUAUAAAACGUAGUGGAUCGAUAUGAUCAUGUAAGCACUAUUUGGUAAAGGCGAAGUAGGUCACCUCUUUGUAGAACUGGGGCUGAGUAUACCCGUGAGCAAUGCUAUUGGCUUAACAUAGCUCGAGUGGUGCUUUUGUCACGCCCCGUGCCCUGCCUAUUUGGUCGGGUUCGGGCACGCCAACAGACCACCGAACGGACAUGGUUUUCCUGUACCGCGGACAGAGUCUCCCCUGUACGUCCAAGGCGUCGCAAUCGAUACAUUUCACGAUGUUCCAACCAGGAACCGAAUUCAACCAAAGAUUACAUAAGGAAGUAUUAAAAACAUAAAACAACUAAGUUAUUACAACAUUCAUCUUAAGUGUAUUUUACAUCACAAUUUUUUUUUACAAUCAACUUCCAAAAUACAAUCUAGUUAACACAAUUAUUACAAGUUUGAUACAUUUGUGUUCUUUGUCUUCAAACCCCUAAGUUAGACCACCUUGGGGUACCGCUAUCUCAGUCUCGGGGUAGGGCCGCUAUCUACGGAGCUACGCCCUUGCCUUGCGCUGCCGCAUCGCUCACGUGCGAACCUGUAACACCCCAAAACAACGUGGGGUGAGAACCAACUCCAUGGUUCCAAGUGGGUACGGCCACCCAAGAGAAAAUCUCAACCAAUAGGUCUAAGGAGGCACUGAAACAUGUUAGUCCAACAGAUAUAUAUACGAAUAAAGAAAAACAUGCUAUGCCUCACAAUAUGCAAUAUGCAAAUCCUGUAUCUCAUGCAAGUAGAUUAAAUGAUUCUACUUCAUAUUAUUAGCCAUUCUUUACUUAUAGCCGUUUUUACUUUAUUAGCUAUUCUUUACUCUUAGCUAUUCUUUAUUCUUAACUAUUCUUUAUUCUUUACUAAGGGUACUCACACCUUAGUCAUAUUAUACUUAUUUGUCAUUCUUUCCUAAGGUUACUCUUACCUUAGUCAUACUAUGCCACUCGACUUGGUCUUGAGUCAAUCAACUGCGGAUAAUCCGCGCUCUGUCGGCUCGAGGUGAAGGAACUCUCGCAUGCAUCUCAGCCUACCACAACCAGCCGCACUCUAUGACUGAGCCACCCGGCGGCGAAAUCGUCGCACAUACGCCACGACAAAGGCUCAAGUCAAGCGGUGGUACAAUCCACAAACCGGCAUAACCAUUCGGCGGCGAAAUCGUCGCACACGUCACGUCAAUGGUUAGCCCCAGACGGCGAAAUCGUCGCACACGCCCAACACCACUUUGGGUGUUCCAAAAGCUCUGGGAUUCCGGAAUCCAUUUCACAUAACUGAAGGGUUGGUCUUAACCCUAUAGUAUCAACCUAUCUAGGCCCAAUGUCCUUUCCAUCCUAGGUUCAUUUGACUCUAGGUUUAACACUUUUAUCACAUAACCUAGGUUACUUUAACUCUAGAUUCGUUAUCUUUAUCUCACAACCUAGGUUGACUUAACUCUAGGUUUAAUCUCAACCUAUGUUCUCUAACAUUAGGUUCCUAUGUUCUCUAACAUUAGGUUUGAUACCACUCUUGUACGACCUAUAUUUAUUAACACUAGGUUCGAUGCCACACUUGUUCAACCUAUGUUUAUUAACACUAGGUUCGAUGCCACACUUGUUCAACCUAUGUUUAUUAACACUAGGUUUUGGUGCCACACUUGUUCAACCUAUGUUUAUUAACACUAGGUUCAAUAUUACUCUUACUCAACCUAUGUCCUUGACACUAGGUUCAAUGCCACUCGAUCUAUAUAUAUAUAUAUAUAUGUCCACAUGCACAUGUCAUUUAGCAUAGUUCUAUAUAUGUCAACUUACCCUCACUUAACACUCUCGUCAUGUCAUCAUUUAUUUUCUUAGCAUUAACCACAUGCUUAUCAUGUAUUCACUUGGCAUUCUUAUAACAUGCAACAUGCAUUCAACUAGCAUUAAUCAAUGCAUUUAUUUAGCAUUUCUAUACCAUGUUAUUCAUGCAUUCUCUUUUGUAUUUCUACUUUAUGUCAGUAGUAUGUAUUCUCUUUAGCAUUUACUACAUACAUCCACUUAGCAUCUACAUGCAUCAAUAUGAAACCACAUUACUCUUAGACAUAACGACGACCUAAUCGCUUCGGUAAACACAACCCACCUCAAUUCGCACUCCGAUUGCUCGUAGCCACUUGCUUAUUCAUGCAUUCUCUUUUGUAUUUCUACUUUAUGUCAUUAGGAUGUAUUCUCUUUAGCAUUUACUACAUGCAUCCACUUAGCACUUACAUGCAUCAAUAUGAAACCACAUUACUCUUAGACAUAACGGCGACCUCGCUUCGGUAAACACAACCCACCUCAAUUCGCACUCCGAUUGCUCGUAGUCACUUGCAAUCGGCCUCCCGCGGCACUCGUGACCCAGUUCGGCCCGAACUCUCGCGCGACCACCCGAAUGGCCUCUAAUCCACGAUCCGGAAAUUAAAGGUCCGCGGUUAGUUGUCACGAGCUCACUAUUCCGUUUUCAUGAUUUUUGGACGUCGCCUCGGCCCUCCAGGCGGAAACGAAGUCUAAACGUCUGUUUCUUUAAUAUCUUCGCACCGGCUCGACGAAUCGCCGAACCGACUUCGCCAACGCGUUCGUAUACCUAGCAAUUAGAUUUAUAUAAAUUCAAUUUAGAUCAAACCCAUCUACUAGCAAAAAUGCCAUUUUGAGCCCUAAGUUACAAGUAUGCAAGAAAUCACCAUUUAGUUUCAUGAUUAAAUGUCACGCCCCGGGACCCAGCGGAAACCCGUCCGGCGCGUGCCCAGACCCGCCAUACGUCUAAAACAUAUAAGGCGUCUAAAAACAACAAUAAAUAAAGCGGUAAUAAAAGACAACUAGGAGUAUCAGAGCAUGAUAUAAUACUAAGUUCUACAAUAAAGAAAGGAGCAUAAAACUGGAAUACACUAAUAAAAGCAUAAAGUAAUACAAAGGAAAUCCCAAAUACAAGUGCCAAAGGUAGAUACAUAGGUGGUCUCUAUAUAUGGAUACAAAAUCUCUCACUCUCUCUCAACUACAAAAAGAAAGAGCAAACCACCUAGGCAAGAACCGCUCCUAGCUAGCUAGCUAUGCGAUCCCCUUGCUGCGAUCCCGUGCCUCUGCCAGUGCAGAAGGCUCUGAAAGAAAACCAGAAAACGGGGGCGUGAGAACUAUUAAAAAUAGUUCCCAGUGGGCAAUUACUGACUUCAGUGAACUGCGCCACAAGGCCCAAGAGCUACGAAAAGAGGUCAGUGACUAACAAUAUAGUAAAGCGAAAGGUAAGUAAAAUGUAACUUACUAUAACAUAGAGUCUCUACUUAGCAUGAUUUGCAUAGGUAAUAAAGCAACGAUAUCAUGAAUGUACAUAGGUGUGUAUGACAUGCAUAAGCAUAGAGAUGCAACCAAUCCGAUGUCCUCAAUGCAAAAAUUAGUAAAGAUGUCAUUGUUUACUAUUCUAGUCCAAUUCUACUUUAAUAGUUUUAAAGUUCACAUAGUAUGUUCUGUCACUAAGUCCCAAUCAUAUAAGACCCACCCGAAGGCUGUCUAGCCUGCGCCGUGCCUAAUGGCCCCGUGGUAGUCAACAUCCCCACUAUAGGGAUAAGCCUCCCCCACGGCAAUCCAUUUCGGCGCCCAAUCCCGCACACUACACCAAAAGGGACUUUUUGUGGCAAUUAUUUAGCGGUGAUUAUCAAACGGCCGCUAUUACUGUUAUUUUAUUACAUCUUUAGCGGCAAUUAUGUUCAAAUAUACCUACAAAUGUUUAUAUAUUAAAUAUAAUCCUAAUCCAACCCCAACCUAACCCAACCUCAACCUAACCCAACCCAACCUCGUGCCCUCUCUCAACCCACGCCCACUCCCCCUCCCCCUCCCCGCUCCUCUCUCCUCUCUCGAUCCCCCUACCCCUCGAUCGGAUCCUCCCCCCCUUCUCUCUCUCUCUCUUACUCUCACCCUCUCCCCCUCUCGAUCCAAGCCGAAACCCUAGCUUCUCUCCUCGGUCCCUUGCCCUAAUGGCUUCUCCUGGUUAACACCUCCAUCAGCGGUGCUCCAGAUCCUGCGGGGGACGCCUCGUGACCUACGGCGGCGGCGGCGCCGCCGUUCCCAUCGCCUCCGCCGAGCCGUCUGAUCCGAUGGUCUGCACCUACCAUUGCCGUCAGAUGGUGAUCCCCCGCUACCUCCGUCGUAAUAGCAACCCUAGUUGAUUCGACGUGAUUUGCUUUCGAUUCAAGAUUUGAAGUGCUUUCGAUUCAAGAUUUGAAGUGAUAUGAUGAGAUAUUGCCAUAUUUAGCUUCUUUUUGUAGUUGCUUUAUCGUGAUUAUGUCUGAUUUCUUGGUGUGAUUGUGAGAUUAAUGGUAAAUUCUUGAGUUGCUUGUAUUGAAGUGCUGGUGUGGUUACUAAUUCCUUGUGGCAAUUUUAUCUGUUUGGAUUUUGGAAAACUUAUAUCCUGAACAGUGAAUGCUUGAUUCAUAAUUCUUGAAUGAGUAAUGCAUAUUUUCUCUUUAGGGUAGUAGCAGAAUUAAGAAUGAGUAUUCACAAUUUACUAUGGUGGUCGCUUCUUUAGUUCUCUUUUUUAACUUUAGUAGGAGCCCCUACGCUUAAUUAGCUCCUUUAUUAAAUAGCUAAGUUGUUAAUUUCAUUAGGAACCUUAAUUAGGCUAGGCUCAUAGGGGAAAUUAACUUGGUUCAUUUUAUUGCAACUUUUUAAUUUCCUUCAUAACUGAUUUUAUCAUAACUGAUUUUAUCAUAUCAAUUUCCUUCAUAGCUAAGUUGUGCUCUAGUAGUAGUUCUCCCGGUUUGCUGCCCCUUCUUUUUUCAGAGGCAUUAACAGGGAGUUUAGUUCAUGUAUUCUGAGUUUUAGUGGUACUGUUGUUAUGUACAUGUUUUGUGAAUACUGGAAAAUUUGUAAAAUAUAUUAUUGUUAUAUGUAUUUGGUGUUAACUUAUACAUACGAUCUUACAAGUGUUAGGGGUUAACACGCAUUUGUUUUUUUUUUUUAGAGAUAGGUAGCACGAUACCCGCUUCGUUUAUUUUAUUAAGAAAUAAACUUAACUGAAAAUAUGAAUCAACUAGUUUUUUUUUUAAACACCGUUCUCUAAGAGCGUUGUUUAAUUUUCUCCCAUUUAAUUAUGCCCACAUCUUGGGUCUAUUAAAAAGUUUCGAGCUCAAACACGAGGGGAAGUGUUGAGUAUAAAAUAUAUAAACACCGUUCUCUAAGACCUUUAAGUUUUUGGAGAUACAUGGCUUUACCCAAUCUUUCAUAACCAUCUAAAUUGCAAUUACUCCAGUUUCUUUAACACAGAUUUUGGCUCGAGUUUUGUUGACAGGGGCCCAUCUUUGGUCAGCUCAUUGAUGGAUUCAUCCUUACACUGUUGCUUAUAGUCCCUAAUGAUGUGAGACACUGAUUUUUCUCUUAUUUAUACUAUAAAGUCAUUGAUUGGUCGGGGAUAAUAUACGAACUAGAAAAGGGCAUGUAGUUGAUGAUCUCAACGUGAAUUAUUCACAUCAAGUAUUUCCAAUUGUUGCAGUGCGUAAGACAAGCUGAUAGGGGCAUCUUAGAACAUGUUUCUAAGUCUCGAGGUUUGACUUCUGGGCUUCAGUUUCUUUGCUCUAGCGCAUCUUCCUUGUCUGCCUUAUUUUUGGGUCUUAGAUAUGCUUUGAGACUGGUAAGCUUUUGUAGCAUUCCAUUUCUCUAUAUUAAAUUUCAAUUGUAAACUGGUGGCUGAAGUUAAUUAUUGAAAGUCUAGAUUUUUCUAGAUAACCUUGAUUGAUUUUUCUAUAACCUUAACCUGUUAGAUAAUCACUUUACUGCUCUUUUGCGUUUGAAUAUGUUACUUUAGUUAAUCAGCGUGCUGUCAUAAAUCUAGGACAUCCUGUUUGAACCUUUUUCAGUCAUUCUGUUUUUCACCUGAUGAAAAUGUAUAUGGUGAUUAUUCAAGUGCAAGCAGACCAAUUAUUGGCAAAAUUUCAGAGUCUACAUCAUCUAUUCUUUGUUGUGCGCAAACUGUUGAAGGAUGUUGUAACUUCUCAGCAAUCACCCGUUGACAUUAAGGAGGCUUCACAACCUGUAAAAUCUCUUUCUGAGGGGGGCUUUUUGCGGCAACCUAAUUCUAAUUAUGUGCCAGUUAGGCAGCCUGAGAGUUCGGCAAAUAUCGUGGACUUCAAUUCUUGGGAGAAGUUUAGUUACUUGCUAUCGGCAAUUACAUUGCCUUUCCUCUUGAAAUGCCUAAAGGAUGGGAUGGAUCUCGCAAAUAGCAAACAUUGCCAGGUAUAUUUAUCAAAAUUGUUUCACGUUAAUGUUUCUAUUCUUGUUUUCAUUGUUUCGUUGUCCCUGGCUAUAAUAUAUUUUGUCUAUAAUAACUUUUAUAUUUACUUCUGCUUCAGAUGUUUUAUGUUGUCAUUACUCAUUAUCAUGCAUAUUCUUUUGCUAAACUUGUAUUGAGUGUAGCGACACCUCCAACUGGAGGCUGUCUUAACUUACGCCUGUUCUUUUCUUUUGGAAUCAAGCCCUUUAACAUUUACCUUAUUCUAAUUGAGCUCUUCCUCUUGUCUGAGUUUCAACUAGUAAUUAAUGGUAUUUUGGGCAUGUUGUUACAUGAACACUUCUAAAUCCUAAACCAGCUGUCAAAUCUAUUGUUAAUUCAAUAAGUAGGUGGAAAGUAUAUAAAUUAAAUAUUGAAAUGUAGGUCAAUGCUGAUAAAAAGGACUUUAAAGGUCAAAGGACCUAGUUCUAAACAAUAUACAGUUGCAUCUUUCGCUGUUUGUUUAGUUUUGAGUCCUCAAAAUUAUUCUUGUAGUGGAUCCAGAUUGAUCUGUCCCUUCAAUGUAAAGAUUGAUUCUCGAAGAGGAGGAACCAAUAAAGAUUUCCUAUUCAAUUUAUUCCUGGGGUUGAAUACGCCGCUUAAGAAUAUUUUUAUGACCAUAGAUCUCUUUGACAAUCUAACUUGUAUUGUUGCAGAUGACAAGCGUCCACUUGCUGGAAUUACUACCUGUGGUUUAUGAGAGGCUUGCAGUAUAUGCAUCCAAGCAAUCAGGGAAUGCGGACACCAUGUUGGUUGAUAUCCUUGACUUAAAAUGGCUUUCAGAUUUGGUGGAUUGGGGCAGAUCUUCUCUUAUCGUCAUUACCAGACACUGGAAACAGUGCAUGUUUGCUUUGCUAGAAACUCUAAAAGGUUCUCCGAUCGGCACGGUUCCACAUAGUAUCGACUCCAUUAAAGCAAUUAUAUCAAAUGGUUGUGGUUUUCUUCUUUCUUGAACUCUUUUAUUUUUCUCAAAAACAUCCUUUUUACGUAAUUGCUUAACAUGUGCCUUUUUUUUUUCUGAUUUCAGAUGUAGUUAUGAUUGAUGACUUGAAAGAGAGAGUUUCCAACAUUAGAAUUUGUGUGUCUAAAGAAGCUAAGUCUUUAAAUUAUUAUUCACUUGGUCUUACAAAAUACAACUAUUAUUCACACACACACACAUAUAUAUAUAUAUACACACAUAUAUAUAGUUUCUGAAAUAUUAUUCACUUGGUCUUAUUGCAGGAUCCGCCGAAAGUGUGAAUUUGAAUCCUUGCUGCUGGGAUUUGAAUUUUUUCUCAUUGUAAGCUCUUUCUUUCACUCAGAAGUGUUGUAUAUUUUUUUAAAUCUAGUUUUUGUUAGGAUAGUACACAGUAGAUAUUUUGAACAUAGUGCUCUAUUAUUGAUUGUUUAGAAACUGCUUUAUUAACUAUAGUAUUUAUCAACCUAACCUUCUCAAGCCUUACCUUCUAUUUGUAAUUGGUCGAUAUAUAUAAAUGUUUCCUUUUUUGUCAUACAUUGUGGAUGCCUGCUGAAUACUUAGCUUUUAUAUCUAUGUUUCCUUUUGUUGGCUCGCAUCCUCUCUUUCACUUCUGUCUUACCGUUAUCUUUUAGUUUGCAUAAGAAAAGAUGAAACUAUUGUGCAACUAGAUGGAUUGUUAUCAUCUCUUAGUUGUAGUUUUUGUUAUCGUCUCUUAGCAGUGGUUCCUGUUUUUACUGUCCCAGUCACAUUCCUAGUCGUUUCUCAUUGAAUUGGAUGGAGAUGUCCAUGUAACAGCCAUGUCCAUGUAUCUGCUAUAUGACUAUGUAAGCACUGUCGCACAUGUCUAAUUAUAGGUCGCACACGUCUACAUAUUGGCAUUUCCAUCCAUUUGAUUAGAGUAAUUAGAUGGAACUACUAGGAUUACAGUGUAUUGAAUAGUUUAAAGACUCAGCUACACAAAUUUGAGAGGUCGAAUCAACUAGAAAUUUCUACUCGUUCUUCAAUUUCUUUCUGAUUCUGGUGGAAAUUUUCAAUUCCUACAAGAAUUCUGUAGUAAAUUAGGCAAUCCUAGAAAUGCAGAAUUGCAUGUUCACACAAAAGUCCACCUUCGAUUGCAAAUUUCUCUAGAAAGCAAUCUGAUUGUGUGCAGUAUUUAUUCAGAUCUAAAUUGUUUUUCCACUUUGUCCUAUCUGGUAAACCAAGGAUCUGCUUAUCGCGUAUUAACCAAAAGCCACUCCAGUUUGCUUUGGUUCACAAUUUCUUGCCAGACAGGCCUCAUCUUGAGAGCAAUACUAGUACAUAGAAAAUUGCAUAGCUAAACUUGAUGAUGAGCAGAGAAGGCCUUAGUUUUGCUUCCAACUAUUUUUGAAUAGUGUCUUCAUGCCACAGUGUCUUAUCAAAUGUAUUUGCAUGAUCUAAAAAAGUAAGACCAAUGAAAGCUUAGUCAUAUAUGUAGUAGAACUUUUCUCAUCGAACUUGUAUACCUAGUAGAGUUUUUCUCGUCCAACUUGUAUAUCUUGCUUUAUUACAUAUCAAAUAUUAUUCAGUAAUGGUUCCAUGGAGAGGCCGUAGCAGCUGGAAUGGUGAUAUAUCAAAUAUUAUUCAGUAAUAUUUGCUUGAUGCGAUCAAUUUGAUACAUGACUCAAGCAGUCUGAUCGAACUUGAGCUCUAGAUCACUAAUAUUGGAUUGAAAAUUCCUUAUGUUAGGCUUUUAAGCGUGAAUGACUCCCAAUGAGUGAAGGAGAUGAAACAUAUAAAUUAUAUGCACUAAUCAUAUUGGAUUGAUAUUGGCCUGAUUUUAGUUGUUCUAAUGUUCAUUUUCAGAUGUGCUUGUCUACUUAAUUUGAGUGCGCUAUUGUUACAAAGUGAAAAGAAAAGCUAGACCAAAUCAGUACAACCUAACUUUCAUAUUUUUUAGAAAUUUGAUAUGAUGAUUUUUAUUUGGUAAUUUCAAAUACUGAUUUUAUGACUUCUUUUUGAUUGAUCCAGAACAGCUGGAGCUGCGGAAAUUGAAGUGGGAAGCAAGAGUUUCAAACAUGCAGUGUUUGUUAUUUUUUAGCUAUAUUUUGAACAAGUAUUUUUUGUUAGAACUUAUGUUUGAAAUUUAAUUUGAAUACUGAGAUUGUAAUUUGAGAGUUGAGACUAUUUGUUAUAUGAUAAUAUUUACGGCGAUUUAUCAUACGUUAUUGUUGAUAAUAUUUACGGCGAUUUAUGAUUUGUUAUCGUUGAUAAUAUUUACGGCGAUAUUAAUUAAUAUUAACAGCGUUUUUUAUAUAUAUGAUUUACUAACCAUUUAUUUCGAAUAUCGCCGUUAAUUUAAUUAUAAUUUGAUGAACUAAUUGUUGAUUUAUGAUAUUACUUAACUUUAUAAUUUUUUAUAAUCAUUGGUUUUUCGUAAUUAUUAAACNNNNNNNUAUUUAGCGGCAUUUAUAAUAGUUGUUAUUGCAUACUAUUUAGCGGCAUUUAUAAUAGUUGUUAUUGUAUAAUAUUUAGCGGUAUUUUUAAUAGUUGUUAUUGCAUACUAUUUAGCGGCAUUUAUAAUAGUCGUUAUUGUAUAAUACUUAGCGGCAUUUAUUUGAAUUUUUACCAACCGCCGGAAUAAAUGCCGCUAAAACUUUUAGCGACCCUGCCAAUAGCGGCAAUUGUUAAAAUUGCCACAAAAUGUUUUAGCGGCAAUUGUAAUUGCCGCUAAUUUAAAAAAUAAUCGCCGCUAAAAUAUAGUUUUGUUGUAGUGGCACGGGCGAGCAUAUGUCGCGAUGGCUAUCUCCGGAGUGCCAGCUUGUAGGGAGCGACCCUCACAAGUAUGUGCGAAUGAGCACAAUGCCAAGCAAGCAAUGAUCUGUCUCAAGUACCAAGUCCUCAUGUUUAAAAUAUGGAAUAUAUCAAGUAUCUCAAUAGCCUAUCUCUGUGUCAUCAUGUCUCUAACAUGGAAUAUAGCAGAUGUACAAUGGCCUAUCAUCAUGUCUCUAAGUUGCAUUUUCAUAGUUUACUAAUUCCAAGUGCCCCUUUAUGACACUUUUGUUCAACGAGUCCCAAGCAUGGCAUUAAUAUGUUCAUGAUGCAUAGUUCACUCAAUUCUAGCAUGGAGACAUGUUCUCAACUUGCAAAACCAAGCACUAUCCACAAUGCAUGCAAUCUACACAUAUAGCUCUACUAUAUGGAGUACAAAUUUUACGACACAUGAGGCAUGCAUGUUAAGUGUUCUAAAAUUCAUAUAAAUCAUGUUUAGCAUGAAUUUGCAUUCAAAAAUACUUUACGAAAAGUUUAGAAGGCAUAGGGGUCAUUUUGCCUCAUUUUCAUGAAGUCAAACCCACCAAAAUCGACUUCUUCGUUUCGCCGAACGAAUGUAUCCAUAAGCUUCCUAGUACCCUAGAAACAUCAAAAAUAGGGUCACCCAAACGAAACGAAGAGCAAAUAGCUCAAUCAUUAAGCUUCUCAAGCUAGGAUUGGAGAAAACUUACCGAUUGCGAAGGAGGCUCUCACGAUCUCCAAAUGGGAGUUAGAGUCCUUCCAAUUUAACCUAAACAAAGGUUCUAAACCCAUCAAUUACGCUUCAAAGCCCUCAAAUCAAAAAUCCCCAUUUCUAGCCCUAGAAUUCAAAAUCUAGGGUUUCAUCCAAGAGCAACCUUCAAAACUUAAUCCAAAUGGGAGAUUAAGUUUACUAACCUCACAAGAUGCUCAAAACCAAGCUCCAAGUCCUCUAGGGUUGAAGGUUGAUCUCCAAACAAGCUCUAACCAAGAUCCCAAGUUUCUCCAAUGGUGGAAAAACCCACAAAAGCAAGAAGGAGAGAAGGGAAAGAGAUCAAAACCCAUAAAAACUACCAAAAAUGUAGAUCAAACCAAGAGGGGAAGACUCACCUUGUCUCUCUCUGUUUGGAGCUCCAGGAGAGCAACCAAGGGGGCUGGGGUGGUAUAUAAAGGUGUUGUAACAAUUGCAAAAACACCCCUCCACGAAACAGCCCCAAUCUGCACUGUGUACCGGUACACGGGAUUGUGUACCGGUACACCACCCACGAAAACGCAAACCCGAGCCUCGGGUUUGGCCGAAAAGCCGUCUGUGUACCGGUACGCGGGCCCGUACCGGUACAGUCAUCAACCCCGUACUGGUACAGCCACCAAGCCCGUACCGGUACACAGCCUGCUGGAGGCUACCCGAGAGCUGACCAAAAAUCCAACUUUUUGGAUUUUGAUGCAAGAUUUUAAACCACAAUUCUCGGGGCUUGAACCAUAGGUCGGAACACUGUCAACGACCCACCAGAAAGUCUGGAAAAACUCAGAACACAAUCAAUCACUCGAACCCCGCAAUUUGCAAGGUCCAGUGCGUUACAUUAAAGCAUUAAUCCUCUAUUUAGCAUAGUUUCACUAAAUCCAUUUUUAGAGCAUAUAAAUGAAGCCCUAAAGAUCUACCAUUAUUGCUAUCAAAGCUUACCUCUCAAGCAAGCUCCAAUGGAGAGGAAGAAGAUGAAGGAGAUGAAGAUCAACUUCCAAGCUUGCUUCUCCACCAAAUCCUUCUCUUGAUUCCACCUUCAAGAAAGAGAAAGAGAGGGUUUUUCUUCUUUGGUUGCAAGUGUGAGGGAGGGGGAGAAGAAGUGUGUGCGUGUGUGUGUGCGGUUCAGCCAGCCACCAAAUAGGGCUGCGACAAUUGCACAAAACCCCUCAACAAUACACUAUUCACAUCAGUUUAGCAGAUACAAACUGACGUUUUUCGCCGGAGCCCUUCUGAAUGUCCGUUUGCGCUCAAAUUUGAAAGUCAGGCUCGGUUUUACGUAAUAAGUAUAAAGAAAUUUUAAUCCUUCAGUUUCGACCAUAUUUGGUCACCGAAAGCUCUACCGAACUGUAAUCUCUAGCAGAUAGGAAUCGGAUUUUAUUUUCCACCUUCCGGGUGUCAGAAUGGUAUGAAACUUUAAAUCUAGCCUCAUAAAAAUAAUUCUGACAUAUUCUCCAGUUUUCAUAAUUUUCUGACACUGUGCAUUUUCUGCUAAGAUAUCAGUCCCAUCUCUCAUAGAAAAUUCUAAAUCUUCUGUUUUCAUUCCGAUUUCGGCACAAGUCAUUUCUUACUUAUAUUUUACUCCACUAAAUCCAAUAAAAAUAGUAUCUCAUACUAUUUUAUUUAUUUUUUACUUUUAUAUCAAAAUAUGAUACGUUACAAGCCUAAAGUGUACCGGUACACUUUCUCGUGUCACCGGUAACACGACGGCACAGAUCAGACAAAACCCGAGAGCUGCUUCUCGAUUUCGUAGCAUUUGUACUGGUACCCUUUCAAUGCUGUACCGGUACACUUAGCCCAGACUUGGUUUUUGGCUCCAUUUCGAUUCUAUUUCGCGCCGAACAACGCUAAAACCUUUCCAACUCCUUCUAAACUCACUUUUAACCCUUCCAACUUUGUUGGAAUGUUAAAUAGAACUCGUCCAACCAUUUCAUUCGCACGCUUUAGUCAAUUUGACUAAAGUCCAAUAUUUUUUACCGAAGUUUCGGUAUGUUACAGCUUUACUGUUGCCUUUUUUACAAGAAAAAUGAAGAACUAAAGAGAAAAGAAGAAGAUGAGGAAGUUGCACUUUUUCAAAAGAAUGUUGCAUUGUUUUAGAUGAAAUUUAUACUCUUUGAGAGAAAAAUAAUACGUUUUUGAAUAAAAGUUUCACUCUUUAGGUGAAAAUAAUAUUGUUUCUCCUCCUUAUUUCCUUUUCUCUUUGUUUUCAUGUGUUUCUUCUGUGCCUAUCUCUUCUUUGCUCUCUACCUGCAUUGGCAUAUGCUCUACCCAUGAAACCAUAUUUUGGAAACCUUCGCCUCCACAUCCGCCACUGACGACAAAGAGGAAGUGCUUCUCGGCGCUAAGAAGCUCACCAACGAGGGAAAGGGGCACGUGCCCCACGACACCCACUGGGGACGGCGACCUUACGCGGUGGAGAUGGAGAAGAGCGUAGCGACACUGGAAAAGACGGCACGCCCUGAGAACGGAAACAAAGGUAGAGGGCGAAGAUGGAGGUGGAGAGCACAAAAGAAACAUACAAAAAUGAAAAGGAAGGAGAAGAAGGAGGAUGCGGAGAAAUAGUAUAAUUUUCGCAUAAACAGUACAACUUUCAUUCAAAAGAGUGCAACUUUCAACCAAAAAGUAUAAUUUUUCUCUCAAUGAGUAUAGAUUUCAUCUAAACAGUGGAACAAUUCUUCUAAAACUGUGCAACUUUAUCAACUUCUCCCUUUCUCUCUAAUUCUUCAUUUUUCUUGUAGAAAAAAGUAUUUUUUGUUAUUUUUUAUUCUUUAUUCUUUUUAUUUUUUUAAUUUUUUGCAUCUUUUUUCGUUAUCACGAUCUCUUCCUCACUCUCUAUCCGCGGUCACUACCCUCGCCGGAAGUGCUCAUUGGAGAAGCGUGGGCACGUCGUCAUCCUUACCCUGGGAUGCCCCACUUCGCCUCUGCCCUAUGCAUCCUAGCUCGCCCGUGCCCGCUCACCCCCCGCCUUUCUUGCCUCCGACCCUGCCGAGGUUGUGUCGCGACCCUUUUUUUUUCUUUCUAACCCUCUUUUUUUUUUUCCUCUCCAGCAAUGGAGGAGGGUCGGAGAGAGGAAAAAAAAAGUCGCGGCGCGGCCUCGGCGGAAGCGGAGGGCGAGGAGGGCGGGGGGGGGGGGUGGGGGUGCAUUGGCUCGGGUGAGGGUGAGCAGGGCAGAGGCAAAGCGGGCCAUCUCAACCUCCACCGCCCUCUUUGGAAAGGAAAAAAAGAACGAGAGAAAAAAAAAAAAGAGAGAGAGAUCGAAAGGAAAUUAGGGUAUUUUGGUCAGUUUUUUAAAAAUUCGAACUGAAUCUACAAAAUCCAAAUGCGGCCUACUUUUGCAAAAACUCGAAAUUAGUAAACUUUUUAUGCAAAUUGGCCUUAGAUUAAUUUAAAAUAUAAAUUUAAACUUCAAAUUUUACUUUCUUAAAUUUUAAUUUAAUAUUUCUAAAUUUAAAUUUUUUACCUUGGCCUUGAAUUUGAAUUGUAAAUUCAAAUUUUAAGUUCAAAUUUAGAUUUAAAUUUUGAUCAAAAAUUUGAAUAACAAAUUUAAAUUUUUAAUAAAAUUUAUUUUUUAAAUUUUAAAUUGGACAUGAUUCUAAUUCCGGUUUCAAUUUUUCUUAUGAACCAAAUAAAUUAUUAUUUUUAUCAUUCCGUCCUCGAUUCCAUCCACUUUCAUUCCUACUCCGAUUUCAAUUCCAUUCAUUUUCAUUCCUAUUCUGAUUUUGAUUGCUCUUCUAAACCAAACAUAUCCUUAAUUUGAAACUAAUUGAUGCACAAUUAAUAUAUUUUCAAAAUUUAUGAUUUUUUAUAUGGAUUUUCUAUUUGUAAUUAUAGAUUAAUUUUUUAUUUUAGGACCGUGACCAUUAAAUAUUUACUUGGCGCAUAAGCACCUCGUGCAGGUAGUAGUUCCUUUGGUAUCAUUGCAAUAACUAUGAGGUACCAUUUCAUCACUAGCUGGCGAGCCACUCUUUGUGACGAGAAACUUCCACGGACUUGGUGCACAGAGAAGCAUUGGACCACUCUAUAAUGUGCCUUUUUAUUUACAUUUCCUUUUUCUAUUUUUUUAAGAUAAAAUAAGCGAGGGAAAAAAAAGAAACUCUUACGUAAACUUUGGUAUAUUUAUUUUUGGCAGUUAAACUUAAAUAUGUUAAACUUUGUCUCCAAAAUAAAAUUUUAGUUAUAAUUCAUUAUGAAAUUCUUAUUCAUUAAUAUUGUUGGUAUUUGUGAUAUUUGUGUCACGCCUCGGGACCCAGCAGAAGCCCGCCCGGUGCGUGUCCAGACCCGCCAUAUGCCUACACAUAUAAGGCGUCUACGACAACAACAUAUGAAAGCAAGAAGAUAAAACAUUUAGAGCAAUAUUAGAGCAUAAUGACAUCUAAAUUCUAAUAACAAGUAGAAGCAAAUAAACUGAAUAGCUAACAUAAUCCAAAAGUUAGGUACAACAAGCGAUCUACAUAGAUACAACUAAAUACAAAAUAGUGGUCUCUAUACAUCGGGUACAAGAAUCACUCUCUCCAACAAUACAAAAAGAGAGAUAACCACCUAGUAGCAAGAUCCUCGCUAUCUAGCUAGAUGCGGCCCCUUUACCGCGAUCCCUAGCAUCUCCCAGUGUGGAUGGCUCUGAAAUAAAAACAACAACACAGAGGAUGUAGAACUAUUAAACAAUAGUUCCUAAUGGGUAAGCCGCCGACCUCAGCGAAAUACACCACUAGGCUAUAGAGGCAAAAGUAGUAAAGAAUACUAAGUUAAGCAACAAGUAAAUUUAACAAGUAUGAAAUUUUAGUAAGCUACUAUGUCUCAAAUUAGCAUGAUGUCCAUCAAGUGAUACUACUAUUCUAUCAUGAAUGAGUAUAUCCAAUAAGUAUACUAACAUGUUCUAAAUAUGCCCAACAAGUAUACUACUAUGCACCAAGCAAUACUAUCAAGUAUACUAAUAUGUCCAAGCAUGUAUAUCUAGUAUACUACUAUGCACUAUGCAUGUCACCAUGUGUCCAAUAGUAUGCACCAAGCAUGCCCAAGGAAACCAACAACUAUACACUAUCUAGUAGUGAUUGUCAUACUAAAGGUUUAAUGUCAUUAUCCAAUCUCAACUCGGGACCUACACAAGUGUAGUCCGGCUUGUGCUGCCUAAUUGCCCGUGGUAGUCCAAUAUUCCCACUCUAGGAAUGAGCCUAUCCCACCUGGCCUAGUAGGCCACCCAAUAUCGCACGUGCGAGCAUAUGUCGCGUAGGCCAACUCCAGAGCGCCAGCUUAUAGAGACCAACCCUCACAAGCAUGUGCGAAUGAGCACAAAUGACAAACAAGCGUAAUCAUCAUCUCAAGUAUACGGUCAUUAUGUCUCCAAUAUGGUAUGAAUACUAACAACCCCAAAGGUCUAGUUCUAUGUCACAAUGUAAAGGCUCAACCGUUUACUAAGUCUAAUGCCACUUUAUGACAUUAUGGUUUACUAUGUCAAUACAUGUUCCGAGUCCAAUGCCACUUUAUGACAUUAUAUAUUCCCUAUGUUUAGCAUAUGUCCAAUGUUCAUAAGUAAGUAAAAGCUUGUCAUAUCACCAAAUGAUACAUGAUUUCUAACAUGUCGAGAGAAUGCCAUUUCACAUGCAAUUUAAUAUACAAUUUCCUCCCUACUACAUAGGGGUCAUACAACAUGAUAUAUAACAUAUGUCUUUUAAGCAUUCUAAAAUUCACAUAUGCCCUAUCUAGCAUGAAUAUGUAUGAUUUUUUAUUUUACAACAAAAAAUAUAAUAUAGGGGGAGUUCACCAAUUUCGGUGAGGUCAAACCCACUAAUCUUACUUCUCAGAUCCCCUUCGUUGAAUAUCAAAGAGGGGAAGUGGAGAGGCUCCCUACCUUGAUCUCCACCGGUUCCAAGCUCAGGGAACACACGAGGGGGCGUGGGGUACUUAUAGGGUAGCUACAAUUGCAGAAACACCCCUCCAAAACAAGCAGUCUGCGGACUGCCCUGCGUACCGGUGACACGGGCUGGAAUACCGAUACACCGCAGCCGAGCUCGCUAAACCCGAGCCUCGGUCAAGCUGGAAAAUGCACUGCGUACCGGUACCCGCGCGAUGUAGCACCGGUACCAAGUCCAAUACCGGUACUCGGGCAAUACAGUACCGGUACCCUGCUUCGCAGAGCUCAAACCCGAGAGCACUCUUCUCGAGUGCACAACGCGGUUCCGGUACCUCAUCCCUGGUACCAGUACCCAGCACCCCAAAACCUGGAGUUUGGAGGUUUUGGUGCUAAGUACCAACCCUCGCUUCUCAAGACGCGAGUAAUGGGUCGGAUCACUGUCAAUGACCCUCCAGAAAAUCUGAAAAAACUCAGAAUACUGAUCAAACACUCGAACCUUACAAUUUGCUAAAGUUCAGUGUGUUACAAUUUGCUUGCGUUCGAACCAUAUUUUUAGUAAAAUGAUCAGCUUAUUGAUUCAUCGUUCUGCUAACGAAUGUAUAUUAUAUAUCAAGAAUAUCUGAACAAUUUUACAAUAAUAGAAGCUUAAUCAUAAGCUAGUGUAGAGACCCGCGCGAUGUAGCUGGUAGAUAAUGGAAGCAAAAUUUUAAAAUUUAAAUAAAAUUUAUAUUUACAGCUUAUUGAUGUAAAGGAAGCUAGCACAGUCAAUUUGCAUGAUUAAAUUCAACUGUUAAAAAAAAAAAUUAUAGCUAGAAGCUUAUAUAAUUUUUCAGUAAACUUCAGAUACCACCUAUGUGGUUUCACACUUUUUCACUUUAGUACCUUGUGAUUUAAAGUGUAUAAAGUUAGUGUCAUAUAGUUCCAUUUUUAUCUUUUCGUCAGUUUCUCCGUUAAUAUUUUGUUAAAUUAUAUACAAAAAAAAACUUUCGAUACUUCACCUACGUUUAUCGAAUAUUUACUUUAGUACCCUUUAGUUUUAACUUUGUCACUGAUUUAACAAAAAAAAUUAGUUGAAUCGAUAAUAAAAAUAUAAAAAUAAAAUCACAAGAUACUAAAUUGAUACACUUUAAACCAUAGGCUACUAAAGUGAGAAAGUGUGAAAUCACAGGGGUGAUAGUUGAAGUUUUUCCAUAAUUUUUUUUAAAUUAUCGAAAUACAUAAGAGACAUACAAUUUUAUCGUAUUAUGUGCCUUUUGAACAUUCCGUUGUGAAAGAUAAAAAAGAGCUAGCUCCAGCUGAAUUAAGCAUCUCUAUCCAAGCAUCAAAACAUAUUAAGGAUAUAAAACACAUAAAAUAAUAAGUUAACGUAUCUGGCUUAAGAAAAUAUGGGUGGAAUCUCAGGCUUCAGUCUCCACAUCAUACUUCUUAAUCUAUAGAAGGAACUUUGCCCACAACAGUGCCUACUCAAAAAAAUGGUCAUAGGAUGAAAAUAAAACAAAAACAUCAAUUAAAAACAAACGAAUACUUUUUUGAAGCACUUCUUCAGCCACGCGAGCUUGCUCAUUCAAACCUCAUACAUCUUCUUAAUCUUCAGCUGGCAGUUGCUCCUCGCGCCGAGUCACUUUCUGGAUUUCCAUUGCGACCUAUGAACAAAUACCUCAUCUGCAUCACCAAAUUGCGAUAUCUAAACCGACACAGUCUUGUCAUCACAUCAACCACAGAAAUCCUAAUUCUCAAACAAUUUGGAUUUACCAACAAGUUCCUGUAAUCCUCGAGAAGCGAGUUCUCGCACAGCGUCCCCUUGAAGAGGAGGUCAGGGCGCCACUUACGUCGGCCUAGUUGUGGGCAUGUCACGCCCCGGGGUCCCUUUUCAGUUUAAAACAAAGCGGAAAAGCAUCUAAAUUUUUUUUUUUUUGAAAACCUGACCCCAGAGUAUGCCAGAUCCGCCACAAGCACAGGGAAUCCACUGUUCACACGGACAGAGUCUCCCCUGUAUUUGCACGGCGUCGCACAAGUACAAGAAGUCACCCAGGCACAACCACAACAAAUGAACAUACAAAUGACCAACAGAUAUAUAUUCAUACACCAUUCACCACAGAUUCAUAUUUAUACAUUUGAUAUUUAAACAUCAAUCCACAUCUAUCAGUUAAAAUGUUUCCAACCAUAGAAACCGAUUUUGAAAUACUAAGAUGCAAAAUCCACAGAAAAUCUUUUGAAAACUGUUCCCGACACAGGAACUUUUAUCUUUUUAAAACGCUACCACGAGGGGUAGAAAACCUUUUAUUUUACAAAAUUCACAAACCAGUUUAUUACAUUCAUGAAAACCAAAACUUUUGAAGAACUCAGAUUUAUCAGAUAAUAACACAACUGAACCAUGUAAAACCGACUAAACUAUAAAUCAACAGAUGAAUAAUAAGGGUAAGUAACUAAAUCGAGAAUAACCUGGGUCGGAGCUCUAUCGACCGCUACACACGUACCUCACAUCUGGGUCCCACUAUUAUCGCCGCCGAUACCUGAGAAAAUGGUGGGGAGGUGAGAACCAUGUAAAUUGUCUUCCCUUCCCAGUCUGGGUACCGCAAGCCGAUUGAAGGCGAGGAGUACUCACCGGAUCAGGAAGAGCUAAAUAACAACAAAGGUCAGUGGAAUAUAGUAGCAACAAUAAUAAGAUUUAGAGCAGAUAUACCGAAUACAGUAGUGAUAAACUGAAAGAAAGUAAGAACUAGACUAAAUAACGCUACCGCUUACUGUAACUGGAACCGAAAGCAUAACAAGAAUAUCUACUAUUAGUAGCAAGACAACUAUAAAGUACGACUGUAAAUAUGCAUGCAGACGACGCUACUAUAGACAUAUGCGUCAACCGGUCAAGAGUCCAAAGUACCCAAUCUGAAACCAAUGCUCUCUGGUCAGCACCGCAGACCUCAAGCCAGUGCCCACUACUUCUCCAGUGCAUAUUACCCCCUCUAGGGCUCACGGGUUUGUCCACAUUCAACCACUUUCCGGAAAAGAACACUCCUUGCGGUGGAUCAGACCGCCAGUGUUCGUUGAAAUGCGACGAGUAUCAGGCGAUCAAAUGCAAUAUGCUCAAUGAUCAACCGUCGGCAAACCAGCCGCAAUCCUGCCCCCAGGGCCCAUCGACCGCAUAGGUCGUGCAACUGUUAAGAAGCACAAAAAACCGACCACUCAGGUCAAACUAGGAUGGGACAAUAUGGACAUCCUCUCAAACAUAUGCAAAUACUGCUCAAUGAACCACAAUGAUGACCACUCAGAUCAACUAGAGGAUAUGAAAUUUCAAUCAAUCACGUCACAAGUUCAGGAUAUGAAACUCGACCAAUCAUGUCACAAGUACAGGAUAUGAACUUCGACCAAUCAUGUCACAAGUAUAGGAUAUGAAACUCGACCAAUCAUGUCACAAGUAUAGGAUAUGAAACUCGACCAAUCAUGUCACAGUACAGGAUAUGAGUAAAGUAUAAUUCAUCCGUCGGUAUAACUAACCGACAAUCCCACCCCCUCGAGGUAACCGAUCUCAACGGUCAUCAGACACAAAGGUCGAGAAACUCACCAAUAGGUCACAAAUACUGAAUACUAGAAUCGACGACUAGAUCGCUAAUCUCACAGAUAAUCACGGAAUCGCUGUACUAUAAAUAUGAAACAGGGUAUGCAAAAUAGCUAAGUAGAGCAACAAGGAAACAUGGUAUCACAAACAGAUAGACUAUACUCCUACACAUGAUACUAAGCAUGGAAACAUCUGGGUAGAGUGUAAUCAAACAACGUGGGUGUAAUGUAAACAAUAGAGGUGCAAAGCUCAACAUAUAAUAUAAGCAUGGAUAAUAACAAAAGAGCAAGGGUAAGAAACCAUCACCGAGCGUGCACCACUGUACCAACGUCGGAUCGAAGUACCCACCUGUACAACUGUCGCGCCUGUCUCAUGACUGCAAAAGAACGUCAACCGGACCUAAGGAAGGUCCACCGGGUUAGUGUCUAACCCACAACUAAGAAACCCUAAAAGCGUAACCCCACAAAUAAACCCACGAGAAUCGGUUUCCCAAAACCGAUUACCGAACAAACCAGAAGUCCCGAAAUCGCACCGGGACUCCGUCGGGACCCACGAACUAUCCCGGAACGUACCGACUCGUGCUACGAGUCAUCCGCUGCCACUAAACGUAAAAAUUGUGUAUCAUGGCAGCAAACACCACUCCUUACGUCGAAACAAUUAUCGUCGGAUAAUCGUUUUGAUCCGGGUUCCCGGAAGUGUCUAAUUCGACACCGGAACCUACGGUCGCUCACCUGUCAUUUCCGAACCCUCAAAAUGAUGCGAGUGACCAGCCAACAAGGCUCAACGACUACACAAUUCAUCACGAAGCACUGUCGGAAAGAAUCCGAACCGAUCCCGCGUUCCGUCGGCGGAUUUCGCCGAGAAACGCGCCGAAAAUCUCUUUCCGACACUUGCAAAGGCUUGGGGCCUUGGACGAUCAGUCCAGAGGUUAUCCUCAGCCCUAACUUGCUGCCAACAGUAGCCACGACGAAUAAAGUUGCAUAAAAGCCCGUCCGAAUACCCGAAAUCGCAUUAUUUCAUGUGAUUUCGGCGCUUUUAUAGUCCGUCUGCACAAACCAGAAGUGAAACAGCGAAGCCGAGACACCCGCUGACAGGUCUCGGCGUGCCGGAAACCGUGCUCACCUUUCGGAGCAAUUCCGGCCACAGAGGGAAGCGCACGAGCAAUGCGAAACUCUGCGAGACUGCGCGCACAGCGCAAAGAUUGCGAUUAACUCGCUAACCAGGGCAUCAUUGCCGCUGUCGGAGGUGAGCACGAUGUUCAGCACGAACCCUAGAUCAUCGUGCUCACUUCCCGGGGUGUCGGGGAGUCAUUGGAUCACCGGAAGGGUGGCCGGAAAGCUAAACUACUGUGCUGGAACACAAAACGGCCUUACCGGAUCCGAGGAGGGCUAGGGUUGGUCGCCGGCGACCGGGAGGCGGGCGGCCCGGCCAGGGAAGGGUGCGGCCGGUCGGUGGGGUUCGGGGCACCUGCUGGCCGGCGGCGGGAGGUGGCCGGUGGCGCGGCGGCGCAGCUCAAAGCCGCCGAGUUCCUCUCGGGUUCGAGCUUCCCGGCGGCGCGGCGGCGGCCGGAGGAGGUCGGGGCGGCGAGGAUCCGGUGCCGGAGACCGAGGGGAAGGUGGUGCACCCCUCGGUGGGCAGUGGCGGUGCUUGGGAGCCGAGCGGGCCCGACCUCGGCCCGCACGGGUCUGGGCGGCCGCAGGAGGUUCCAGCGGCGGCCGGCAGCGUGCAGGGACGGCGGGACGGCAAGCGGGAGGUUGCCGGGGGUCACCGGAAGGCGGCGCGGCCGAUGGGGAGCGACGGUGGCGCGCCUAGACCGAGGUCACCCAAGCUCGGCCUGGGCUGACCGCAGAUGGCCGCAGGGGACUCGCGGGGCUCCGGCAGGGCACGGGGAUGGCCGGAGUCGGCGGGGAAGAUGCCGGAGAUGGGUCUCGGCCAGGGGAUGGUGAAGCUCGGGUGAAAGAAGCUUCCUUCGCAACUUCGGCGAAGUCGGAGGAGAGGGUGGCCGAGAGAGCAAGAGAAGAGGUCGGGGUGGCUUUUCCGGCGGCCGGGGCAGCUCGCCGGCGGCCGGGGCGUGCGCACGAGUUGGGCAGGGAGAAGGUGGGGCGGCUAGGGCUCGGUUCGGCUGAGGAGAAGGCCAAAAGCUAGGGUUUUCUCACGAAACCCUAGUGCAACUACUAUUUACAUAUGCACAUUUGCAAGAUAGUCCUCCCAGGGAUAAUAUUCUCAGUCAAGUCCCUCACAGCAUGCGUAUUUUACACAUACGCACCUCCAUGUCCGAUCUCACGCAAUUCGGCACAUAAAAUAUAGGGUCUCUUCGCGAUUUAUCCGUUUUGCCACCUUGACCCCUCAGCGAAAAUCUCGUAAUUCCCGGAGAUCCGUCUGUCGGAUUUUCGAUCCGACAGCACCAUUGCGUUCAGCACGUCGGGGGCAUCAAAACUACAAUGUUGAUUCGUCCGAUUUGGUCACGGAUUCGCGACGGAAUACAUCCGCUCUCUAAUUAAUCCGUAUAUCGCACAUAUACCAAAGCAUAAACCCUAAAAUCUUUAAUUCAAAUUUAAAUUUGAAUUCCCUACCACCAAUAGGUACCAGAAACAACUCUCACCUAUCCCCAGGUCACAAGCCAGAGCACGAGGAGUUUUAAAAUGCACGAAUAGCAAAGAGCGAAAACCCUCUUUUUGUUAAAACUCCUUUUUCUCGAAAACCGUGCAUCGGAUCCGAAAUCCGUCAGUGCCAUUGGUUCCAGAAUAGCUGAACCGUUCGAAACGAGCUAUUGGAGUCCUAUGUUCGGAGUCCGAUACGCGCCGAAAGCCAACUCUACUCCGUGGCUUCUCCGGAAAACCGGAGUUACUAUUCACUUUAAGUGAAAACUAAUAAUCGCGUAACUUCUCCAUUUUAGCUCAUUUUCUCCUGAAACUUGACGAGUGCUUAUGUAAUUAAAUUACACACAUAAACAUCGUCAACGGAGAGUUUAG
rnacentral:lncRNA from 1 species